rnacentral:lncRNA from 1 species
UUUGACCAUAACAUUACUGUGGAGGAGGCCAUACAGAAGGGUUGGCAUGGAUUUAGAUUUAGAAGAACCCUGCAUGGAGAGACUGUGGAGCUUUGGAACAGUCUCAAAAAAAGAUGUGAGGAAAUUCAAAUGCAGGGAGGGGAGGACAAAAUCCUCUGGACCCUCACUGCUGAUCAUAAAUUCUUUGUGGGAUCCUUGUAUAGGAAAUUGAUAGCUGUUGGGAUGAAAUUCCCACAGAAAUACUUAUGGAAGAUUAAAGUACCUACGAAAUUGAAAGUGUUUUUAUGGUUGAUUAAUAAAAAAAAGCAUCCUAACUAGAGAUGUACUGCUUAAAAAAGGAUGGAAGGGUGAGAAAAGAUGUGUCCUGUGUGGGAAAGAUGAACCAAUUGAUCAUCUAUUCUUCUCUUGCUCGGUUGCUUCAUUGUUAUGGAGUUUGGUCAGAUGUGUGUGUGGUUUUAAAACUGUGCCAUCUAGUGUGAAAGAUUGUUUUGGAGGCUGGAUUAGGAAAUUUAACAAAGAUGAUAAAAAACUGGUGCUGGUGGGGAUUUCAGCCCUGCUUUGGUUAAUUUGGAAAAGCAGAAAUGCAAUUAUCUUUGAGAAUAAAAGGAUAAAUGAUCCUUUAUAUGUUGUCAAGCUAAUGUGCAGGUGGUUAAUUGACUGGUCUAUUAUGCAGAUAAAGGAGUCGUUAAGAAAAACGUUGGAGCUGGGAGCAAGGGUGCUAGAGCAGGCAACAAAUGAAGUGUUCACAGCCAAGCAGGGGUGGAGGAUCAAUAUUGCUAGAUUGGAAUGAAGAAAGUCUCUCCUGCGGUGGUGAACCUGAUGUUUGGUUCUCCUGUAGAAUAGAUCCUUGGCUCUUUUUUUGCUACUUUUGCUUCUGCGUUUAUGUUAUGGCUCUCAAGGUAGUUUGAACCCGGUUUGGCAGUUGUGAACUUGGGGAUAUGUGGUGUGGCUGACCCUUGUUGGUCGUUGGGGUUGCUAUUUGAUCCUGUUGAAUCCGGUUGGAUCUUUUCGUUUCCUUUUGAACUCUUAUGUAGAAUUCUGUGGUUUUCAGUAAUGAAAAUCGAAAGGGGCAAGCCCUUCUUUGAUAAAAAAAACUUUUUUUUAGACGAGCACGAGACGAUCUUUAAAACCUAACACCGGAUUUACUUCCAAUGUGCCUGCAGACGACGACGACGAUGACGACUAUAUAGCCGCGGAUGCAGAGACAUUGACAAGACUUUAAGAUCCGAUCAUGGUCGCCUCAAACUUCGCCGUCGCGACGGUACGGGAUGAGGUGCACGCCGUCGCCACGUCGUCCUUCGCACCGAGCAACGGCCACGCGCACGCAGAUGGGGAAAGGGCAGAUGCGAUCGAGGCCUCGCUGAGCAUCGACCUUGGGGCCGGCGCCGGCAGGCACACCGGCGCGCUGGCUGGUGCGGCGCCCGAAGAGGAGGCAUCACAGAGCAAUGUCGUCGUCGACCCUGUCAACGUCUCGGCCGACAAACACGCACGCGCCUCGCCCGGCGUGGCGGCGAAAGAGAAGGUGCCGGCUGGUGCAGCGACGGAGGCGCGGAGCAAAGCUCCCGACGCCAUCGCCGCCGUGGAGGCCAUCCUGGGUUACACCUUCGCGGACAAGGCCCUGGUAGGGGCGGCACUCACGCACGGCUCCUUCCGCGGGUCGCGGGCCGGCGGCGCGGGCGCGACGUACGAGCGGCUCGAGUUCCUAGGCGACCGCGCCAUCAACGUGGUGGUGGCGAGCCACCUGUACAUCGCGCACCCAGCGCUGCGCCCGGGCCCGCUCACCCGCCUCCACAGCCUCAACGUCGACCGCGAGAAGCUCGCGCGCGCCGCCGUCGCGCACGGCCUCAAUCGCUUCCUCCGCCACGGGACGCCCUUCCUCAAGCAGCACGCCAAGGACUUCGCGGCGGAAAUCGCCGCCUACCCGGUCCACUCCAACGGGCAAGUCAGGGCGCCCAAGUGCCUUUCCGACAUCGUCGAGUCGCUCAUCGGUGCCGUGUUCCUCGACUCCGGCGGCGACAACGAGCAGGUCUGGCGGGCGUUCAUGCUGAAAUCUGAGAUGGGCUCUAGGCCCAUAUUGCAAUUUCUGAAAAAUCUCUAAGGGCCCAUGUGGGUUAUAUGGCACUAGGUGUGUGGGAAGUUUAGUCCCACCUUGGAAGUGGAAGGAGAGUUGGAGUGGUUUAUAAGGGACUCUCUCCCUCAUGCUAUUGGAGCUUGAGAAGAGAUGAGGCCCUCGCGCACUCCUCCUCCUCCGCUCGCCUCGCCACGCCACGCCUCGUCCCGACGCGCCGCGCCGCGGGUUGCGGGAUGCGGGAUUGAGCCGAGCCGAGCUCACUCCUAUGCGCUUCUUUUUGCCGGUCAGGAACGGAGAGUCUUUGACAGGUGGGGCCACGAUCUGAGACGUCGGAUCGUGGGCUACCGACUUGGACGUGGGUUCAGCCCACGUCUCUCCACGCGCGGCCGCACAUAUAUAUGUGGGGCGCUGCCAACCCUAGCCGUCACGAAACAGAACGCAUCUCCGCCUCCACGCCCACGUCGUUCUUCUGCUGCUGCUGCCGCCGGCGACUCCGUCCCGUUCACCGCGUACACGGUUGACGGGAGAGCAGGCCUCCGAAACCACGCCUCUCCGGAUCCUGUACGGGGAGAGGGGCGAUUAGGUUUUUGGGUAGCGACUACGCGACUGCUCGCUUCUGUUCAUCUACGUCCGCAUCACCUUCAUCAUCACCAUGUCGACCGACACCGACCGUGCCGCCGCUAAGAAAGCCGAGGCCGACAAGAAGGCCGCCGAGGAUGCCGCGGCUGCUGUCACCGCCACCGCCACCGCGUGGCCGAUUGGAGGUUAUACAUCGCUUAUCCCUCUCGUGUUUCUUUCUGUUGUAGCAGUACUAGCGGUAUGCGUAGAUGUCUCUACUAUAUGCGUAGUACAUGCUCUGUUAGAUCAUAAUCAGUAUGUUAUCAAUGCUGUCCAUGUCAUGCUCAUGAUUUAUUCAUGGAUUAAUUUAAUUGAAAAACUGCCUAUUUACUCAACAAUCCAAAAACCUAAUAUCUGUAGGAGUUUUUCGAAUUCUGGUUUUGCUGCUGCACUGAAACCGUCCCCGUUUACGGGGACGUACUUUAAGCGUUGGCAGACUAAAACCACCUUAUGGCUCACGGCCAUGAACGUGUUCUGGGUCGCCGGUGUGACUCCUACAGGAACGAUCGCUCCUGAACAGGAGAAGGCGUUUAAGGAGGCCACCGUGGUGUUCCUCGGGGCAGUUCUGAGCGUGAUUGGAGAUAAGCUGGUUGAUGCAUAUUUACAUAUGCGGUCUGCCAAGGACUUGUGGGAGGCGCUCGAAUCUAAGUUCGGGGCUGCCGAUGCAGGGAGCGAGAUGUAUAUUAUAGAGCAGUUCCACGAUUACAAGAUGGUUGAAAACCGUCCUGUAUUGGAGCAGGCUCAUGAGAUAAUAUGCAUUGUUAAGGAGCUUGAGCUUCUUAAGUGCGAGUUACCGGGCAAAUUUGUCGCGGGCUGCAUAAUCGCUAAGCUCCCCAAUUCCUGGAGGAACUUUGCCACCACUCUGAAACAUCAGAGGCGUGAAUUCUCUGUGGAGGAUGUCAUUGGCCAUCUGAGUGUUGAGCAGAACUCAAGGGCAAAGGACUCACACGGAAAAGGGGUCGAAGGAACUUCUGUGGCCAAUAUGGUGCAUCAGAAGAACUCCAAUUCCCACAAGCCCAGGGGAAAGAACGGUGUCCAACAGACUGCCGACUUUAAGAAGAAGGGUAAGAAGACCUUCAAGAAGAACAAGAAGGAUGAAGGCUGCUUUACUUGUGGUUCGGCUGAACAUUGGGCCAACAAGUGCCCAAACAAGUUUAAGAAGCCAGGACAGGACUCCAAGUCUGUCAACAUGAUUGUGAGCAACAAUGAGAAUGGUGCAUCUGGGUACGGUAAUUUAUUUACUGUUUUUUCAGUGUUUCAGCCUACCGAUUGGUGGGUGGAUACAGGUGCAGGUGUUCAUGUGUGUGCUGACAUUUCAUUGUUCUCUUCUUACCAGGUCACAGGCCACGGGUCCGUAUUGAUGGGGAAUGGCGCGAGUGCUUCUGUUCAUGGUGUUGGCACGGUCGAUCUGAAGUUUACUUCGGGAAGGAUCGUGCAGCUGAAGAACGUGCAGCAUGUCCCCGCCAUCAAGAAGAACCUCGUUAGUGGCUCCCUUCUAUGUAGAGAAGGGUUUAAGUUGGUAUUCGAGUCUAAUAAAUUAGUUGUUACUAAGUAUGGACUAUUUGUUGGAAAAGGUUAUGAGAGCGGAGGGAUGUUCCGCCUUUCCCUCGCAGAUUUUUGUAAUAAAGUCGUGAAUCAUAUUCAUUCGAAUGUUAAUGAAUCUGAAGUUUGGCAUUCACGUCUUUGUCACAUUAGUUUUGGUGUUAUGACGCGGCUAGCCAAGUUGGAUUUAAUCCCGAGUUUCACUUUAGCCAAAGGUUCUAAGUGCCUUUCAUGUGUGCAAGCUAAGCAACCUCGCAAGCCUCAUAAGGCCGCGGAGGAGAGACACCUGGCACCAUUAGAACUCAUACAUUCUGAUCUUUGCGAGAUGAAUGGUGUGUUGACUAAAGGUGGAAAGAGAUACUUCAUGACAUUGAUAGAUGAUUCCACUAGAUAUUGCUAUGUGUAUCUGUUAAAUACUAAAGAUGAGGCUCUACACUACUUUAAAAUCUAUAAGGCAGAAGUUGAAAAUCAACUUGAAAAGAAAAUUAAACGAGUCCGGUCAGAUCGUGGUGGAGAGUACUUCUCGAGUGAGUUUGAUUCCUUCUGUGCGGAACACGGCAUUAUUCAUGAGAGGACGCCUCCCUAUUCACCCCAAUCAAACGGGGUUGCCGAGCGGAAAAAUCGUACUCUAACUGAUUUGGUUAACGCCAUGUUAGAUACAUCGGGUUUAUCCAAGGCAUGGUGGGGGGAGGCUAUAUUGACGGCAUGUCAUGUCCUGAAUAAAGUUCCGACAAAGGAUAGUGAGAUCACUCCCUAUGGGAAAUGGGCAAAGAGAAGGACGACACUCUCGUACUUGCGCACUUGGGGCUGUUUGGCGAAAGUCAACGUGCCGAUCCCCAAAAAGCGUAAGCUUGGACAUAAGACCGUGGACUGCAUUAAUUUGGGCUACGCUAAGAACAGCGUUGGCUAUAGAUUUCUAGUAGUGAAAUCUGAGGUACCUGACCAGAAGAUCGGUACAAUUAUGGAGUCUAAGGAUGCUACAUUCUUUGAGGAUAUUUUUCCUAUGAGAGAUAUGCAAAGCACUUCUAGACAGGAAUCUGAGGAGACUCCUGAACCUGCCAUCCCUAUGGAAUAUUAUGAACAAACACAUGAUGAAAAUCCCGAGGAGGAUGACGAGGAAACCCUUGGUAGGGGCAAGAGACAAAGGACUGCAAAGACCUUUGGUGAUGAUUUCUUCGUGUACCUCGUGGAUGAUACUCCCACUUCUAUUUCAGAAGCGUAUGCCUCUCCAGAAGCUGAUUACUGGAAGGAUGCGGUCCGUAGCGAGAUGGAUUCCAUCAUGGCUAACGGGACAUGGGAGAUCACUGACUGUCCCUAUGGUUGCAAACCACUGGGAUGUAAGUGGGUGUUCAAAAAGAAGCUUAGGCCCGAUGGUACGAUUGAAAAGUACAAGGCUAGGCUUGUGGCCAAGGGCUAUGACCAGCAAGAAGAGGAAGAUUUCUUUGAUACUUAUUCACCUGUGGCUAGACUGACCACCAUUCGAGUAUUACUCUCGUUGGCGGCCUCACAUGGUCUUCUCGUCCAUCAGAUGGAUGUUAAGACGGCUUUUCUAAAUGGAGAGCUAAAGGAGGAAAUCUACAUGCAACAGCCUGAUGGCUUUGUGAUAGAUGGUCAGGAAAGAAAGGUGUGUAGGUUGAUAAAAUCUUUAUAUGGCCUGAAACAAGCACCUAAGCAAUGGCAUGAUAAGUUUAAUACAACUCUGACAUCUGUUGGUUUCGUUGUCAAUGAGGCUGAUAAAUGUGUAUACUAUCGCCAUGGUGGGGGCGAAGGAGUUAUACUGUGCUUGUAUGUUGAUGACAUACUGAUAUUCGGAACCAACCUCAAAGUCAUUGAGGAGGUUAAGUCCUUUCUGUCUCAGAACUUUGAGAUGAAGGAUCUUGGUGUGGCUGAUGUUAUCUUGAAUAUCAAGCUACUGAGAGAUAAUGAGGGUGGGAUCACACUUCUGCAAUCCCAUUAUGUUGAGAAGGUGUUGAGUCGCUUUGGAUAUUCGGACUGCACACCAUCUCAAACACCAUAUGAUCCUAGCGUGUUGAUUCGAAAGUCCAAAGGCAUGGCUAAAGAUCAAUUGAGAUACUCUCAAAUCAUUGGUUCACUGAUGUACCUAGCAAGCGCAACGAGGCCUGACAUCGCGUUUGCUGUGAGCAAACUGAGCCGGUUUGUUUCCAAACCGGGUGAUGUACAUUGGCAUGCUGUAGAAAGAGUUAUGCACUAUCUGAAAGGUACUAUGAACUAUGGACUUCACUAUACCGGAUACCCGUCGGUACUUGAAGGGUAUAGUGAUGCGAAUUGGAUCUCUGAUGCUGAUGAGAUGAAGGCCACAACUGGGUAUAUGUUUACUCUUGGAGGUGGCGCUGUUUCCUGGAAGUCUUGCAAGCAAACGAUCUUAACGAGAUCGACAAUGGAAGCAGAAUUAACGGCAUUAGACACAUCUGGUGUUGAAGCGAGAUGGCUUCGAGAUCUUUUGAUGGACUUGCCAUUGGUUGAUAAACCGGUUCCGGCUAUCCUUAUGAACUGUGACAAUCAGACUGUCAUCACCAAGGUGAAGAGUUCAAAGGACAACAUGAAGUCCACCAAACACAUAAGAAUGAGAUUAAAAGCUGUCAGAAAAUUAAGAAACUCCGGAGUGAUAGCGUUGGACUAUGUCCAUACGGCUAAGAAUCUGGCAGAUCCCUUUACGAAAGGGCUAUCACGUGUAGUGAUAGAUAGUGCAUCGAGGGAGAUGGGUAUGAAACCCACAUGAGUUACCAUGGUGGUAACCCAACCUAUGUGAUCGGAGAUCCCGUGAAGUAGGACCUGGGGAAACAAGCCAGUGGUGAACUGAGGAGAGUAACUUUACUAACCCACUCCGUUGGAGAUGCAAUACUCUCGGAAACUGUACGGAAGGAUGACUAUUGUCUUAAUGUGUUCCAAGGCUUAUAUGUAUAAGCAAGAUGCUAUCCUACAGAGCGAUCUUUGAAGGAACACACCUAUGUGAGCCCGACUGCUAGUCACAGUCUAUGAGAUUGGGGUGAUCUCUAGUAAACUCAUGAAUAGGCCAGGAGUGUGACUUAUAUGCUCCACCCGAGGGGUCAGCCUUCGGCAGCCCAGUACUAGUAAGACAUGUGGUGAAACUUCUUUACGCCAAACUGACAAUUCAAGGCAUAGUCCAUUGUUCAGUUGUGAAGGAAUGUAGCUACUUGCUCUAGGUGAAGCUCAACCUUAACAGGUCUUCACUGAAACACUAGUAUAUCAAAACAGUAUUUGGAACAGAGGACACUAUGGGCCCUCGAGAUCUGGUGGGGGAUUGCUGAAAUCUGAGAUGGGCUCUAGGCCCAUAUUGCAAUUUCUGAAAAAUCUCUAAGGGCCCAUGUGGGUUAUAUGGCACUAGGUGUGUGGGAAGUUUAGUCCCACCUUGGAAGUGGAAGGAGAGUUGGAGUGGUUUAUAAGGGACUCUCUCCCUCAUGCUAUUGGAGCUUGAGAAGAGAUGAGGCCCUCGCGCACUCCUCCUCCUCCGCUCGCCUCGCCACGCCACGCCUCGUCACGACGCGCCGCGCCGCGGGUUGCGGGAUUGAGCCGAGCCGAGCUCACUCCUAUGCGCUUCUUUUUGCCGGUCAGGAACGGAGAGUCUUUGACAGGUGGGGCCACGAUCUGAGACGUCGGAUCGUGGGCUACCGACUUGGACGUGGGUUCAGCCCACAUCUCUCCACGCGCGGCCGCACAUAUAUAUGUGGGGCGCUGCCAACCCUAGCCGUCACGAAACAGAACGCAUCUCCGCCUCCACGCCCACGUCGUUCUUCUGCUGCUGCUGCCGCCGGCGACUCCGUCCCGUUCACCGCGUACACGGUUGACGGGAGAGCAGGCCUCCGAAACCACGCCUCUCCGGAUCCUGUACGGGGAGAGGGGCGAUUAGGUUUUUGGGUAGCGACUACGCGACUGCUCGCUUCUGUUCAUCUACGUCCGCAUCACCUUCAUCAUCACCAUGUCGACCGACACCGACCGUGCCGCCGCUGAGAAAGCCGAGGCCGACAAGAAGGCCGCUGAGGAUGCCGCGGCUGCUAUCACCGCCACCGCCACCGCGUGGCCGAUUGGAGGGUAUACAUCGCUUAUCCCUCUCGUGUUUCUUUCUGUUGUAGCAGUACUAGCGGUAUGCGUAGAUGUCUCUACUAUAUGCGUAGUACAUGCUCUGUUAGAUCAUAAUCAGUAUGUUAUCAAUGCUGUCCAUGUCAUGCUCAUGAUUUAUUCAUGGAUUAAUUUAAUUGAAAAACUGCCUAUUUACUCAACAAUCCAAAAACCUAAUAUCUGUAGGAGUUUUUCGAAUUCUGGUUUUGCUGCUGCACUGAAACCGUCCCCGUUUACGGGGACGUACUUUAAGCGUUGGCAGACUAAAACCACCUUAUGGCUCACGGCCAUGAACGUGUUCUGGGUCGCCGGUGUGACUCCUACAGGAACGAUCGCUCCUGAACAGGAGAAGGCGUUUAAGGAGGCCACCGUGGUGUUCCUCGGGGCAGUUCUGAGCGUGAUUGGAGAUAAGCUGGUUGAUGCAUAUUUACAUAUGCGGUCUGCCAAGGACUUGUGGGAGGCGCUCGAAUCUAAGUUCGGGGCUGCCGAUGCAGGGAGCGAGAUGUAUAUUAUAGAGCAGUUCCACGAUUACAAGAUGGUUGAAAACCGUCCUGUAUUGGAGCAGGCUCAUGAGAUAAUAUGCAUUGUUAAGGAGCUUGAGCUUCNNNNNNNNNNNNNNNNNNNNNNNNNNNNNNNNNNNNNNNNNNNNNNNNNNNNNNNNNNNNNNNNNNNNNNNNNNNNNNNNNNNNNNNNNNNNNNNNNNNNGUCAGCCUUCGGCAGCCCAGUACUAGUAAGACAUGUGGUGAAACUUCUUUACGCCAAACUGACAAUUCAAGGCAUAGUCCAUUGUUCAGUUGUGAAGGAAUGUAGCUACUUGCUCUAGGUGAAGCUCAACCUUAACAGGUCUUCACUGAAACACUAGUAUAUCAAAACAGUAUUUGGAACAGAGGACACUAUGGGCCCUCGAGAUCUGGUGGGGGAUUGCUGAAAUCUGAGAUGGGCUCUAGGCCCAUAUUGCAAUUUCUGAAAAAUCUCUAAGGGCCCAUGUGGGUUAUAUGGCACUAGGUGUGUGGGAAGUUUAGUCCCACCUUGGAAGUGGAAGGAGAGUUGGAGUGGUUUAUAAGGGACUCUCUCCCUCAUGCUAUUGGAGCUUGAGAAGAGAUGAGGCCCUCGCGCACUCCUCCUCCUCCGCUCGCCUCGCCACGCCACGCCUCGUCACGACGCGCCGCGCCGCGGGUUGCGGGAUUGAGCCGAGCCGAGCUCACUCCUAUGCGCUUCUUUUUGCCGGUCAGGAACGGAGAGUCUUUGACAGGUGGGGCCACGAUCGGAGACGUCGGAUCGUGGGCUACCGACUUGGACGUGGGUUCAGCCCACGUCUGUCCACGCGCGGCCGCACAUAUAUAUGUGGGGCGCUGCCAACCCUAGCCGUCACGAAACAGAACGCAUCUCCGCCUCCACGCCCACGUCGUUCUUCUGCUGCUGCUGCCGCCGGCGACUCCGUCCCGUUCACCGCGUACACGGUUGACGGGAGAGCAGGCCUCCGAAACCACGCCUCUCCGGAUCCUGUACGGGGAGAGGGGCGAUUAGGUUUUUGGGUAGCGACUACGCGACUGCUCGCUUCUGUUCAUCUACGUCCGCAUCACCUUCAUCAUCACCAUGUCGACCGACACCGACCGUGCCGCCGCUAAGAAAGCCGAGGCCGACAAGAAGGCCGCCGAGGAUGCCGCGGCUGCUGUCACCGCCACCGCCACCGCGUGGCCGAUUGGAGGGUAUACAUCGCUUAUCCCUCUCGUGUUUCUUUCUGUUGUAGCAGUACUAGCGGUAUGCGUAGAUGUCUCUACUAUAUGCGUAGUACAUGCUCUGUUAGAUCAUAAUCAGUAUGUUAUCAAUGCUGUCCAUGUCAUGCUCAUGAUUUAUUCAUGGAUUAAUUUAAUUGAAAAACUGCCUAUUUACUCAACAAUCCAAAAACCUAAUAUCUGUAGGAGUUUUUCGAAUUCUGGUUUUGCUGCUGCACUGAAACCGUCCCCGUUUACGGGGACGUACUUUAAGCGUUGGCAGACUAAAACCACCUUAUGGCUCACGGCCAUGAACGUGUUCUGGGUCGCCGGUGUGACUCCUACAGGAACGAUCGCUCCUGAACAGGAGAAGGCGUUUAAGGAGGCCACCGUGGUGUUCCUCGGGGCAGUUCUGAGCGUGAUUGGAGAUAAGCUGGUUGAUGCAUAUUUACAUAUGCGGUCUGCCAAGGACUUGUGGGAGGCGCUCGAAUCUAAGUUCGGGGCUGCCGAUGCAGGGAGCGAGAUGUAUAUUAUAGAGCAGUUCCACGAUUACAAGAUGGUUGAAAACCGUCCUGUAUUGGAGCAGGCUCAUGAGAUAAUAUGCAUUGUUAAGGAGCUUGAGCUUCUUAAGUGCGAGUUACCGGGCAAAUUUGUCGCGGGCUGCAUAAUCGCUAAGCUCCCCAAUUCCUGGAGGAACUUUGCCACCACUCUGAAACAUCAGAGGCGUGAAUUCUCUGUGGAGGAUGUCAUUGGCCAUCUGAGUGUUGAGCAGAACUCAAGGGCAAAGGACUCACACGGAAAAGGGGUCGAAGGAACUUCUGUGGCCAAUAUGGUGCAUCAGAAGAACUCCAAUUCCCACAAGCCCAGGGGAAAGAACGGUGUCCAACAGACUGCCGACUUUAAGAAGAAGGGUAAGAAGACCUUCAAGAAGAACAAGAAGGAUGAAGGCUGCUUUACUUGUGGUUCGGCUGAACAUUGGGCCAACAAGUGCCCAAACAAGUUUAAGAAGCCAGGACAGGACUCCAAGUCUGUCAACAUGAUUGUGAGCAACAAUGAGAAUGGUGCAUCUGGGUACGGUAAUUUAUUUACUGUUUUUUCAGUGUUUCAGCCUACCGAUUGGUGGGUGGAUACAGGUGCAGGUGUUCAUGUGUGUGCUGACAUUUCAUUGUUCUCUUCUUACCAGGUCACAGGCCACGGGUCCGUAUUGAUGGGGAAUGGCGCGAGUGCUUCUGUUCAUGGUGUUGGCACGGUCGAUCUGAAGUUUACUUCGGGAAGGAUCGUGCAGCUGAAGAACGUGCAGCAUGUCCCCGCCAUCAAGAAGAACCUCGUUAGUGGCUCCCUUCUAUGUAGAGAAGGGUUUAAGUUGGUAUUCGAGUCUAAUAAAUUAGUUGUUACUAAGUAUGGACUAUUUGUUGGAAAAGGUUAUGAGAGCGGAGGGAUGUUCCGCCUUUCCCUCGCAGAUUUUUGUAAUAAAGUCGUGAAUCAUAUUCAUUCGAAUGUUAAUGAAUCUGAAGUUUGGCAUUCACGUCUUUGUCACAUUAGUUUUGGUGUUAUGACGCGGCUAGCCAAGUUGGAUUUAAUCCCGAGUUUCACUUUAGCCAAAGGUUCUAAGUGCCUUUCAUGUGUGCAAGCUAAGCAACCUCGCAAGCCUCAUAAGGCCGCGGAGGAGAGACACCUGGCACCAUUAGAACUCAUACAUUCUGAUCUUUGCGAGAUGAAUGGUGUGUUGACUAAAGGUGGAAAGAGAUACUUCAUGACAUUGAUAGAUGAUUCCACUAGAUAUUGCUAUGUGUAUCUGUUAAAUACUAAAGAUGAGGCUCUACACUACUUUAAAAUCUAUAAGGCAGAAGUUGAAAAUCAACUUGAAAAGAAAAUUAAACGAGUCCGGUCAGAUCGUGGUGGAGAGUACUUCUCGAGUGAGUUUGAUUCCUUCUGUGCGGAACACGGCAUUAUUCAUGAGAGGACGCCUCCCUAUUCACCCCAAUCAAACGGGGUUGCCGAGCGGAAAAAUCGUACUCUAACUGAUUUGGUUAACGCCAUGUUAGAUACAUCGGGUUUAUCCAAGGCAUGGUGGGGGGAGGCUAUAUUGACGGCAUGUCAUGUCCUGAAUAAAGUUCCGACAAAGGAUAGUGAGAUCACUCCCUAUGGGAAAUGGGCAAAGAGAAGGACGACACUCUCGUACUUGCGCACUUGGGGCUGUUUGGCGAAAGUCAACGUGCCGAUCCCCAAAAAGCGUAAGCUUGGACAUAAGACCGUGGACUGCAUUAAUUUGGGCUACGCUAAGAACAGCGUUGGCUAUAGAUUUCUAGUAGUGAAAUCUGAGGUACCUGACCAGAAGAUCGGUACAAUUAUGGAGUCUAAGGAUGCUACAUUCUUUGAGGAUAUUUUUCCUAUGAGAGAUAUGCAAAGCACUUCUAGACAGGAAUCUGAGGAGACUCCUGAACCUGCCAUCCCUAUGGAAUAUUAUGAACAAACACAUGAUGAAAAUCCCGAGGAGGAUGACGAGGAAACCCUUGGUAGGGGCAAGAGACAAAGGACUGCAAAGACCUUUGGUGAUGAUUUCUUCGUGUACCUCGUGGAUGAUACUCCCACUUCUAUUUCAGAAGCGUAUGCCUCUCCAGAAGCUGACUACUGGAAGGAUGCGGUCCGUAGCGAGAUGGAUUCCAUCAUGGCUAACGGGACAUGGGAGAUCACCGACUGUCCCUAUGGUUGCAAACCACUGGGAUGUAAGUGGGUGUUCAAAAAGAAGCUUAGGCCCGAUGGUACGAUUGAAAAGUACAAGGCUAGGCUUGUGGCCAAGGGCUAUGACCAGCAAGAAGAGGAAGAUUUCUUUGAUACUUAUUCACCUGUGGCUAGACUGACCACCAUUCGAGUAUUACUCUCGUUGGCGGCCUCACAUGGUCUUCUCGUCCAUCAGAUGGAUGUUAAGACGGCUUUUCUAAAUGGAGAGCUAAAGGAGGAAAUCUACAUGCAACAGCCUGAUGGCUUUGUGAUAGAUGGUCAGGAAAGAAAGGUGUGUAGGUUGAUAAAAUCUUUAUAUGGCCUGAAACAAGCACCUAAGCAAUGGCAUGAUAAGUUUAAUACAACUCUGACAUCUGUUGGUUUCGUUGUUAAUGAGGCUGAUAAAUGUGUAUACUAUCGCCAUGGUGGGGGCGAAGGAGUUAUACUGUGCUUGUAUGUUGAUGACAUACUGAUAUUCGGAACCAACCUCAAAGUCAUUGAGGAGGUUAAGUCCUUUCUAUCUCAGAACUUUGAGAUGAAGGAUCUUGGUGUGGCUGAUGUUAUCUUGAAUAUCAAGCUACUGAGAGAUAAUGAGGGUGGGAUCACACUUCUGCAAUCCCAUUAUGUUGAGAAGGUGUUGAGUCGCUUUGGAUAUUCGGACUGCACACCAUCUCAAACACCAUAUGAUCCUAGCGUGUUGAUUCGAAAGUCCAAAGGCAUGGCUAAAGAUCAAUUGAGAUACUCUCAAAUCAUUGGUUCACUGAUGUACCUAGCAAGCGCAACGAGGCCUGACAUCGCGUUUGCUGUGAGCAAACUGAGCCGGUUUGUUUCCAAACCGGGUGAUGUACAUUGGCAUGCUGUAGAAAGAGUUAUGCGCUAUCUGAAAGGUACUAUGAACUAUGGACUUCACUAUACCGGAUACCCGUCGGUACUUGAAGGGUAUAGUGAUGCGAAUUGGAUCUCUGAUGCUGAUGAGAUGAAGGCCACAACUGGGUAUAUGUUUACUCUUGGAGGUGGCGCUGUUUCCUGGAAGUCUUGCAAGCAAACGAUCUUAACGAGAUUGACAAUGGAAGCAGAAUUAACGGCAUUAGACACAUCUGGUGUUGAAGCGAGAUGGCUUCGAGAUCUUUUGAUGGACUUGCCAUUGGUUGAUAAACCGGUUCCGGCUAUCCUUAUGAACUGUGACAAUCAGACUGUCAUCACCAAGGUGAAGAGUUCAAAGGACAACAUGAAGUCCACCAAACACAUAAGAAUGAGAUUAAAAGCUGUCAGAAAAUUAAGAAACUCCGGAGUGAUAGCGUUGGACUAUGUCCAUACGGCUAAGAAUCUGGCAGAUCCCUUUACGAAAGGGCUAUCACGUGUAGUGAUAGAUAGUGCAUCGAGGGAGAUGGGUAUGAGACCCACAUGAGUUACCAUGGUGGUAACCCAACCUAUGUGAUCGGAGAUCCCGUGAAGUAGGACCUGGGGAAACAAGCCAGUGGUGAACUGAGGAGAGUAACUUUACUAACCCACUCCGUUGGAGAUGCAAUACUCUCGGAAACUGUACGGAAGGAUGACUAUUGUCUUAAUGUGUUCCAAGGCUUAUAUGUAUAAGCAAGAUGCUAUCCUACAGAGCGAUCUUUGGAGGAACACACCUAUGUGAGCUCGACUGCUAGUCACAGUCUAUGAGAUUGGGGUGAUCUCUAGUAAACUCAUGAAUAGGCCAGGAGUGUGACUUAUAUGCUCCACCCGAGGGGUCAGCCUUCGGCAGCCCAGUACUAGUAAGACAUGUGGUGAAACUUCUUUACGCCAAACUGACAAUUCAAGGCAUAGUCCAUUGUUCAGUUGUGAAGGAAUGUAGCUACUUGCUCUAGGUGAAGCUCAACCUUAACAGGUCUUCACUGAAACACUAGUAUAUCAAAACAGUAUUUGGAACAGAGGACACUAUGGGCCCUCGAGAUCUGGUGGGGGAUUGCUGAAAUCUGAGAUGGGCUCUAGGCCCAUAUUGCAAUUUCUGAAAAAUCUCUAAGGGCCCAUGUGGGUUAUAUGGCACUAGGUGUGUGGGAAGUUUAGUCCCACCUUGGAAGUGGAAGGAGAGUUGGAGUGGUUUAUAAGGGACUCUCUCCCUCAUGCUAUUGGAGCUUGAGAAGAGAUGAGGCCCUCGCGCACUCCUCCUCCUCCGCUCGCCUCGCCACGCCACGCCUCGUCACGACGCGCCGCGCCGCGGGUUGCGGGAUUGAGCCGAGCCGAGCUCACUCCUAUGCGCUUCUUUUUGCCGGUCAGGAAUGGAGACUCUUUGACAGGUGGGGCCACGAUCUGAGACGUCGGAUCGUGGGCUACCGACUUGGACGUGGGUUCAGCCCACGUCUCUCCACGCGCGGCCGCACAUAUAUAUGUGGGGCGCUGCCAACCCUAGCCGUCACGAAACAGAACGCAUCUCCGCCUCCACGCCCACGUCGUUCUUCUGCUGCUGCUGCCGCCGGCGACUCCGUCCCGUUCACCGCGUACACGGUUGACGGGAGAGCAGGCCUCCGAAACCACGCCUCUCCGGAUCCUGUACGGGGAGAGGGGCGAUUAGGUUUUUGGGUAGCGACUACGCGACUGCUCGCUUCUGUUCAUCUACGUCCGCAUCACCUUCAUCAUCACCAUGUCGACCGACACCGACCGUGCCGCCGCUGAGAAAGCCGAGGCCGACAAGAAGGCCGCCGAGGAUGCCGCGGCUGCUGUCACCGCCACCGCCACCGCGUGGCCGAUUGGAGGGUAUACAUCGCUUAUCCCUCUCGUGUUUCUUUCUGUUGUAGCAGUACUAGCGGUAUGCGUAGAUGUCUCUACUAUAUGCGUAGUACAUGCUCUGUUAGAUCAUAAUCAGUAUGUUAUCAAUGCUGUCCAUGUCAUGCUCAUGAUUUAUUCAUGGAUUAAUUUAAUCGAAAAACUGCCUAUUUACUCAACAGUUCAGGCGUCUGGCGGACCCGCUGAUCGGACCGGAGACGGUGGGGAAGCAGCCGAUGCAGGAAUUCAACGAGCUAUGCCGAGGCAAGAGGAUGCAGGCCAAGAUCGUGAACAAAGACUGGGCCAAGAGCCACACCGUGAAGGUGGUCGUCGACGGGCAGACGGUGGGGGUCGCGACAUACGGCAAGAACAAGCAUGCCGCGCGGAACCAGGCCGUCAAGUCGGCGCUGGACAUUAUCAAAGCUAGGAAGAAGGAGGACUCGAUGGCCACACUCACGUCGGCGCCGCGUGAUAAAGACAAGGGCGGUGACCAUUGCCCUCCGACGAAUGAGCAGCCGGUGCUGCUGGGGAAGAGGACGGCGAUGACAGAGGAUAGACAAGAGUGGAAGCCGCCAACCUUGGAGGAAUUGUUCAAUUGUGUCUUUAAUUUCACUGGCUAAUUGCUCGUACCACGUGGACAUACAUAUUUUAGAGGCUCAACAUCAAUCGUGUUCGACAUAUAUCUUGCACCCAUCAUAUUCUAGAUUUUGUUAAGAUUUGAUUCCAGUAUAUGGAUAGAGUAAGGUAAUGAAAGUUUUGAUUUAGUUGAGAUUUUGGUAAAAUUUGAUUUGAGUAUGAGUAGGAGAACGCGAGGAAAGUUUUGGUUGAAUUAACGUUUUGAACGAUUUUAUUUGAUAUGAUUGAGUUAGUGCAAAAUACUCCCUUCGUCACGAAAUAUAAGAACGUUUUUAACACUAGCAUAGUAUCAAAAACGUUCUUAUAUUCUGGGACAGAGGGAGUAUGAUUUUGAUAAGAUUUGAUCGAGUUAAUGCAUAACUUAGUUUUCAAGAAAAGUACCGAUUUAGUUCAGAUUAUUCUAAACAAAGAAAGAGGAGGGGGCGAAACCAAUUUUGGUUUGAUUUGAUUAUGAGUAGGGGAAAGCAAAGAAAGUUUUGAUUUAGUUCAGGUUUUGAUAUGAUUUGGGUAUGGGUAGGGAAGGAAAGGAAAGUUUGAUUUAAUUCAUGUUUUGAGAAUAUUUGAUUUGAUUUGAUUGAGUUAUUAAUGCAGGACAUGGUUUGAUAAGAUUCAGUUGAGUUAAUGCAGAACAUGAUUUUAAGUAAAGUAUCAAUUUAGUUUGGAUUGUUCAAAACCAUGGAGGGGAGGAGAGGAACGAAACCAAAUUUGAUGACGUUCAAACAGCGACUCCCUUUGAUAAUAGAGAAGAUUAGAUGAUCCGUUACAUCCAUGGUACAAGAACCCGAUUAUUAGAAUAAAAGUUGUUUAAUUAUUGUAGUAAUGUAUGGUAUUGGUAGCCCCAAUGAAAUGAAACAAUAAGCACUGUCGUGCGUCAUUCAUAUAAUAACAUAAUCAAAUGAGAAACAAAUAUAUGUUCAGAUAGCCCUUGUAUAUAUUCAAAGAUAAGGUACCUUGGAGCAUAAAUUGAUGCGUGCCUUAAAAUUUUAUAAAGUUGUACUUCAAUGUGGAAUGUAAAUAGGGCAAAGCAAAUAAAAGUAUGCCUAUCCUAUUCGACAACAAAGUAAAAUAAAAGCAGCCAGUCAAGAUGCUAAAUUAGUCUAGGUCUAUUUCUUAGUUCAAGAUCCCUCUCACUAACUGGAAUAAAAGAAUUAGUAGAUCUGUUCCGCCCAAAAUAGGAAUGGGCGCUAGGGUUAUGAACUUAUAAUCAUGGAAUCGACUCGAUCAUCAGAUUAUAAGUUCAUUCCAUACCGAAUCAGACCGUGCACAUUCUUAUUAUGAGAAGGGGUCAUUCGAGCCUAUGGAAAUAGGAUACUCUGUUUACAUAGAAAUCCCUACGUCCUUACAUUCUAUUUAGGAUUAGGAAUAGGUGUAAUCAGACCUGCUUUUGACAUAUCUAUCCUAUUCUUAUUUGGGUACCAUAUGCACCUCUUUGGACUUCUAUUGAAUCGAGAAAUUGGAUUGUACAUCUUUCAUCUUUUUGAUUUUGAUAUCGAUUUUGAUACAUAUAAGGUGUCCUACGGAUAAUGCAAAUCGAAGCUAUUUGAUGUCUGACUCAGGCCUAUAUGACCGAUCGAUCGAAAUACUCCAAGACUCCACCUUUGUCAUAUAUUCCAUAUAUCACAUUAUGCGGUGGAAGCUAUAUUUAGACAAGCAACCGUCAAAGUAAAACCAAUUUAUGAUUUUUAUGGGUAGAAACAUAACAUAGUACUCCCUCCGUUUCUAUUAGUUUGCAAGUAAAAUUUGGUCAAAGUUAAACUUUGUACAGUUUGAUUAAGUGUGUAUAAAAAAUAAUCAACAUUUAUAAUAGUAAAAUUAUAUUGUAUAAAAAUUAAUUUCGUGAUGCAUCUAAUAAUAUUGAUUUCAUAUUGUGAAAGUUGUAUAUUUUUUCUAUAAACCUAGUCAAAGUUGAUAAAGUUUGACUUUAACCAAGUUUUAUAUGCAGACUAAAAAAAUAGAUGGAAUACUACCUUUGUAAAACCAAUUCAAACGAGAUGGGCGCUUAGUAGUACCCUAUACCUGUUCGACACUAAUAAGAAAGCGUUGUACGUGUAUAUCCUUGCCCUUUUCAUUAAUUAUAAAAAGAAGAUUGUUGUCCAAUUAAUCAUGAAAAUCAGAUGAAAAUCGUAUAACUAGAGCCAAGCUCAUAUAAAACCUCGAACACUUGGGCUGAAGCCCACGACAAAUACAAACAUGAGACGUCCAACGAAAUACACACACAGAUCAAAAGGAACCCAUACCGCCAAACUAGCCAGCUAUCCACUACCACCAAAAGGAGAAGUCGUGACUUCUAUGGAAGAAGCAGCCCCGAAACCCUCCCACAGAGGUUAAGAAGUCAACACUCCACCAGCUGUAGCGUCCAAAGCAAUGCUUGACAUGCUGAUGAUCAACAUCAAGGACAACCUGGCCACUCCACGACGCAAGGCGAAGUCCCACAAUGCCGCCAAAGCCUUAAGCUGACACCCCAACUUCCAAUCACCAUACGCUCGUGCGUAGCCCAUCGACACCACCUUUUGCCGCCCUGACAUACCACCACCCAUCCUCGAGCUACAACGCCGCACGACCAGUGACGAAGCCAGGAAAAAUGAGUGAGGGAGGCGAGUGUUCUUAGUCCUUGUUGGGGAGGGUCAGCCGGUCAGCCCACUAAAUUACACUAUUUUAGCUGCUAAUAAUCAUCUAUUCACAUGCAUAUUAGGCCUAACUCAGUGUUAUUAGGAGGGCCAGGGACCUGCUGGUCCCCCACUGUCUCCGCCACUGCGCACGACCCAGUUACCCGCAGUCCAAGCUGCACAAGACCACGACCCCCAGACCACAACUCUCGCACCACUUCCGUGGCCGCCGCUCGACCUACCGUCUGGCUGUUCCCGCUGGGACAUUUCGACGAGACGACAACCUCACCGCCCUCGCUGCUUACGGUCACCACCCAAACCGUGCUGAGCAGAAGCCCUGCCCCAUGGAGUUGUCCUCGCACGACAAAUCCAAGACCGCCGUCUCCGUGCACAUCAGCCAUCCCAGGUCGUUACCCCGACGUCCACUGACCAUGACGGUAGAGGAAACCCUACGUAACAACCAUAAGUUGCCUCUCCAAAACAACGCCUUUAAGAAGGUCACGGCUAUACCUGGCCAUGGGAAGCCCGGCCCGGCCGACCCGGCUCGACCCGGCCUGGCCCGACACUGACCCCGGGCCGGGCUUGGGCCUAGAUUUUGAGCCUGAAGUCCGGGCUGGGCCGAGCCUGGGCCCGUUGUUUUUGCAUUUCUCUAAAGGUCGGGCCGGGCCGGAGCCCGACGGGCUUUUACGUGUUCGGGCCAGGCUCGGGCCUAGAAAACAGGCCCGAUGGCCGGGCCGGGCCGGGCUCAGGCCUGGGUUUUUUUCGUCAGGCUUGGCUAGGCCCGGCCCGGCCCGAGGUAUGGCCAGGUAUAGUCACGGCAAAGACGUCACCGUGACCCGCCGCAGGAAAAAUGGAGCUAUUUUUUCCAUCCGGAGAGCGUUGUAUGGGUAUGCGUAAGGUAGGAAAAAGGCAAUAUCAAAUCAAACGUAGACCUGCACAGUGAAGUCGCGAUUUUUUUUUUUUUUGGCACAAAUGACUCGGCGAGGCAUGACUUUGGGGCAAAAAGGUUCUUGCCCGACCAUCUUGUACUAAACGAGCACUAAUGAACGAAAGCUUUAGAGGCACGACUUGACCUGCGGGAAUUAAGAAAAGAACAAGUUGAUCGUGAGAAAGAGACGGGAGAGACACAGCAGGUCGCCAUCGCUCGCUGAUUGAUUGCAGUAGUAGCUCCAUUGCUCGCAUCUUGUUCCACCUCUUAUCUCGCUCUCCCCUCGCCCACCACCCACCAGCCGCCUCCACUGCCACUGAGUACUGAUGAAGCUUCAACCAUCGCCCGAUAUGCCGUGUACAGCUCCGUCCAUCGCAUGAAUCAGCUUCACAACCCGGUUCAGUCUUGCUGUCGUCCGCUGCAGAUCGAGCUGCUCCCUCGACUCCGCUGCAGAUCCCGUAGUUUCCAUCAGGUACUCUGUUCUGAGCCAGAGAGUUCAUCACACGCACAGAUGUGUUCCGAAUAAGCUUUGGCUUUAGAUUAGAUGCUUGCCUGCAGUUUUAGCAGUUUUAUAGAGAAAAGUUUUCGCCUGCCAUGUGUUCGACAGAUUGUCCCACCGCCAACUAGAGGCCGAGACGGGCUGCCAAAAUGGCCAAAUCUUAUUGUACUAGUAGUAGUAUGCACAGUACAGUGAUCUCAUCCUGUUCUUGCCACUAGUGGAUAUUGUGUGUCAUAAAAGUCGUACUAGCUCUUAGUUGCGUCUGCAUGACAUCUGUGUCCUUGGCUGCAUAGUCUGAUGUUCGACUUCUCUCUUCUUAUGCUGCAGAAUUGAUCACACUGGUCCUUCAUUCGGCAUGUAAGCGCCGUCCUGCUCCAUAGGCCACAUACUACAAUUCUCUAGAAGGUGAGUAUUGGUUAGCUGAUGAUGUGAAACCGCCGGUAUCAAAAGUUACCCUUUUCGAAAGAUAGCUCUGUGCCAUGUAGUCUUAUCAAAUGUGAUAAAUUAACUUGUACUAAAUCAGCGACAAUUAAUACGGAUCGGGAGGGAGUAGAUAAAUUAGCAGCCCACCGAUUCAUUUACUAGACUAGUUGUGUUCUGUGUGCAUGCUUAGAGUUUUGCGCUCAACUAGCACAAACAUCAAUUGCUUGUUGGUCCUUACAUGGUAUCCUGGGGGCCUUGCCAAACUUCCUGCAACGAAAAUCUUUCUGUAGUCCUGACGACAGUCAAAAGAGAUGACAAUCGGAUAUUCCAUCCAGCUUAGUAGGUUUCUUCUGUUCUGUUCUUUGUGCCACCUGUCAUCCACGUUCUCUACUUAUUCAUUUCUUGAAUUAGGCUAGGUGCUUCUACCUUAGUUUUGAAAACAGAGAAUGACUUUGACUGAACGUUGUUUGUGAUGCGAUUUAUCUCUUCGAUUGGGUAUUUCUAUUCUAGAAUAUGAGCCAAAAUCCUCGUAUCUUUUCCAAAUUCUGCCGGGUGAAGUUCAGUCAGGAAUUCCAUCCGUUACUAGUGCCGUUAACUCUGAUCCAUGGGGAGAUUUCAGUGGACAAAGGGAUUCUCUGAUGUGAUGAUACCUAGUAUCUUCACACAUGAUAGAUCAUUGUUUGAUUUUAGAUAUGCUAUAAAUCGAUAAAUUUAGUUGAGAAAAAAAAUGGAAUGAGAUGGGCCAAGGGGUAUAAACUACUGUUUAUUCAUGCAUGAGCUAAUUCAGUUAAUUCUAGAUGAAUUUUCUACUCAAUCAUGUAACAUGCACUCUCUUUGCUGAACAGCUCAAAUGGCCGAGGCUGUACUUAUUGCUGUGACGAAGAUUGGUUCCAUUUUAGGAGAUGAAGUCAUCAAGGCCAUCAUAUCCGAGCUCUCUGUAAAAGUUACUAAUCUGAAAGAACUGCCGGUAAAGAUUGAGCAAAUAAGGCAGCAACUGAAUAUGAUGAGUAAUGUAAUAAUGCAGAUAGACACUGUAUACCUGAUGGACAAAGGGGUCAAGGAUUGGAUUGGGGAAGUCCGCAACGUGGCCUACCAUGUUGAAGAUGUAAUGGAUAAAUACUCAUACCAUGUACUUAAACAUAAGGAACAAAGUCGCCUGAAGAAAUUGUUGAAAGGAAAAGAUUAUGCAGUUUUCAGUCAAAUUGCGGAUGAGGUAGUUGCUGUAGAGGAGGAGAUUGAGCAAGUUGUAAAGUUGAAAGAACGUUGGUUGCAGCCCUUCCAGCUUGUCGCUGACCCACUUACUGAGAUUGAAAGACGGCGGUCCCAGGACAGCUUCCCUGAAUUUGUGAAAGAUCAAGAUCUAGUAGGAAUUGAAGAAAACAGGAUGUUGCUGACCGGAUGGCUGCACUCUGAAGAGACGGAGAACAAUGUGAUAACAGUAUCAGGCAUGGGCGGGUUGGGAAAAUCUACCUUGGUUUCAAAUGUUUAUGAACGUGAAAAGAUCAAGUUCACUGCACAUGCAUGGAUCGUUGUGUCACAAAUUUACACUGUUGAUGCUCUGUUGAGGAAGAUACUAUGGAAGAUUGGAUACACCGAAAUACCAUUGUCAGCAGGCAUGGACAAAAUGGACAUAUAUGACUUGAAAAAGGAAAUAGAGAAGAUGCUUGAAAAUAGAACAUAUCUGAUUGUACUUGAUGAUGUCUGGGAGCAGGAGGUAUACUUCAAAAUAUGUGAUGCUUUCCAGAAUCUCCAAGGAAGCCGCAUAAUCAUUACGACACGGAAGGACCAUGUUGCAGGAAUUUCUUCUCCCACCCGUCACCUCGAGCUCCUGCCAUUGAGCAAUCCUGAUGCAUUUAAGCUCUUCUGUAGAAGGGCUUUUCACAACAGGAAGGACCACACAUGCCCCAAGGAUCUUGAGACAAUUGCUGCUUCUAUUGUUGAAAAGUGCCAUGGCCUGCCUCUAGCAAUUGUUACCAUUGGGAGCAUGUUGUCUUCAAGACAAAAUUUAGAUGUUUAUAAGCAGAAGUACAAUCAGCUUGGACACGAGUUGUCAAACAAUGAUCAUGUCCGAGCAAUUUUAAAUCUGAGCUACCAUGACCUUUCAGACGAGCUCCGAAACUGCUUCUUGUACUGCAGUCUCUUCCCUGAAGACUACCCCAUGUCAAGUGACAGCCUUGUGAGGCUGUGGGUUGCGGAAGGCUUUGUGCAGAGUAAGGGAAAGAACACGCCAGAGAUGGUAGCUGAGGGAAAUCUCAUGGAGCUGGUCCAUCGCAAUAUGCUUGAGGUGGUGGAGUAUGAUGAGCUUGGUAGGGUCAGCAUCUGUAAGAUGCAUGAUAUUAUGCGUGAACUAGCUAGUUCUGUUGCUAAAGAAGAGAGAUUUGCUUCAACAGAUGAUUACAACACAGUGAUGGAUAUUCGUCGUCUGUCAUCAUGUGAAUGGAAAGAGGACACUGCCCUGAAAGCUAAACUUUCACAUCUUCGAACAGUAGUGUCAGUAAUUCCAUCCUCGCCUGACAUGCUAUCAUCAAUUUUAUCUGCAUCGAACUACCUUACUGUCCUUGAGCUGCAAGACUCUGAAAUAACUGAAGUGCCAAAAUCGAUUGGGUCUCAGUUCAAUCUGCGUUAUAUUGGGUUACGGCGCACCAAGGUCAAGGCACUUCCGGACACUAUUGAGCAUUUGUCUCGCCUCCACACCCUCGACAUCAAGCAAACCAAAAUAGAGAAGCUACCACGAGGGCUUUUCAAGAUCAAGAAGCUGCAACAUCUUUUCGCCGAUAGAUUUGUUGAUGAGAAGCAGGUAGAGUUUCGGUACUUUAAUGGAAUGCAAGCACCUAAAGAGCUGUCCAACUUGGAAGAACUGCAAACUCUUGAGACCGUGGAAUCCAGUAAUGACUUGGCCGAGCAGCUGAAGAAACUGAUGCAACUAAGAAGUUUGUGGAUUGAUAACAUUAGUGCCGCUGAGUGUGCAAAUCUGUUUGCUACCCUUUCAAAUAUGCCACAUCUUUCAAGCUUGCUUCUUUGUGCAAGGGAUGAGAAUGAGGAACUUUGCUUUGAGGCUCUCCAACCAAGGUCUACAGAUCUACACAAGUUGAUUAUCAGAGGGAAAUGGGCCAAGGGGACACUAAAUUGCCCGAUAUUUCUGAAGCAUGGGACACAUCUCAAGUAUCUAGCUCUAAGCGGGUGUCACCUUGUGGAAGAUCCACUGGAGAUGCUCGCCCGGCACAUGCCAAAGCUCACGUAUCUGAGACUUAACAACAUGCAUGGUGCAAGCACUCUGGCUCUUUCUGCAAAUUCCUUUCCAAACCUGAAGACACUUGUCUUAAAGUGCAUGCAUGAUGUCAGUGAGCUAAACAUCAGUGAGGGCGCUCUUCCAUGCGUUGAAGGUCUGUAUAUUAUCUCGCUGCCGAAGCUUGACAAGGUCCCUCAAGGCAUUGAAUCCCUUCGCGCCCUUAAGAAGCUCACACUGCAGUGCUUGCACAAGGAUUUCAUAAGUCAAUGGGACACCAACGGAAUGCAUCAGAAGACCCUGCAUGUUCCAGAGGUUUAUGUCUAGAUGCAGCAGGUCGGUUCUUCCUGCGGUGUCGGUCUUGGAUGGUGCAUCUGUCAGUCACAGUUGUGCAGUACUUUUAAUCGUUCUAGUAAAUUUGUGAUUAUUGAUGUCGUCAGCAGGCAUUUGUCGGCACUUGUGUGUGUACCAUAUUUACUCCUCAAAAGUUUGGUUUCCAUUGCCUUCCAGAGGUCCCCGUCUGGUUUUAAGUCAUACUAUGUGCUAUUACUCAUUUCAUGUAAUGAUAUGUAUCAUUUCUGUCGAACACCUUCUGUGAAUAAUCAUGUCGAACAUUUCAUCUUAUAUGUGGAUAUAUCUUGAUCUUUGUCGCUGUAUGAGCCUAUGACCUGAUUCACCAAGAGGCAUUACACUGUCAUUUCAGCAGGUCGUGCAUUUGUGCGUUUUGCUGAUUAGGUGUUCAAAUUUCAGGCUAACAAUAUCUAGAGUUAGUAUCAUUUAUUAGUAGCACUUGUGGGUGUUUUGCGGGUAUUAGGUCCUCCAGUUUGAAGGGGACAGACUAAGCAUCAUUUUGGUUCAUCUUGAUAUGAUGCCUGACAGACACUAUGGAGAAGGAAGACAAAGUAUCAUUUUGCUCCAUGUUGACAAUAUGGAGCGGAAAACAGUUUUCCUGGACAUGAAUACGUCAUCCGUACUGUGAGACUAACUGAUAUCAGGAAAAUUGCAGUCAGAAAUGUCAAUAUAGUGAUGUUGUUUCCUGCCCCAGUUAAAGUCCCUGCUUCAGAGGCCAGGAGCCAGAGCUUGGUAGGAGUUCAGCAAGUGUGUUUUGCUACGUACGUACCAUCUUUUAGAGGACACAAGGAUCCAAAACUUGCAAUGGCAAUGCAACACCCGUCCGUUCAUGUCAGUUAUGGUGGUCUGCAUUCGAUCAUCCUGGUAUUGUUUGAGUGAACCGGUUGAAUUACACGAAACCGUGUGGUACAUAGUUUAAUGUUUUUUUACUGAUCGUUAUUCGCAACACCUGGUGAACCGAACCUAUGAAUCCACCUCUUUUUCUUGCUCUGUGGCCUUUGUAAAUUCUUUUUGGUUUGUUUGGGUGAUAGAAUAGCUUGCAAUUUUGUUCAUGUUGCAGCCAGUGGCUAGUCACAUGUUUCAUUGGGCCACAGCACAGCAGAACAGCUUGCGUGCAGUUGCGUUCAUUUUCAAGGUCCUUACGGUGAGAAAUCCUGUUGAUUCAGAUGCACUUGUUGUACUAACACUAGCUAGGAGUAGCAUGAUACGGUGAUACCCCCGCAAAUAUAAUCUGGGAAGUUCUUGGGGGUUGCGCUUGUGCACAGUUACAUGACAAAGCAUAAUGGCUGGAGUGAAAUGGCAGUACAAAUUAAGACCGACAUGACGGACGCCGAUACGAAGCCAGGGCGCGCGGUGGCACGAGCAGCACGACGCAGAGGGCCACGGCAUGCUGAAUCACGAGGAGAAUAUGUAAUUACGUGAAGACCCGUUGACUGAUCUUAAUUAAGUGAGCGCUGCAAAACAAUCUGUGGUUGGAAUGGUUAGAUGGACAGUGGUAUCCUAACCCAUCAGAAUUCGAGUCAUGGCGCUCGCAUUUAUCCUGGAUUUAUUUUAGGAUUUCCGGCGAUACGCUUUCAGUGGGAGUCGCAGUCUGUCUGUAGUUCAAAAAAUUAAAUAAGCAAGCGAUGCACACGUUGGAGAAGGAGAAAAAUAUAUGACGACAUUUUAAUCAUGUGACACUACUAAAACCUUAAGAAAAAAACUUGUAUUUUGGACCUCAUUUUGACAAGUUUUUCUUUGCGGUAAAACCUCUAAUCUAUUCAUAGUUUUUUUCCGUUAAACCUCCAAUUUAUUCAUCAUUAAACAUGACAGUGUAAUGAAUACCAGAAACAAAAAAAAAGGUCAUACAGAUUCGUAGACCACCUAGCGACAAACUUCAAGCACUGAAACGAGCUGAAGGCGUGCCACCGCCAUCGCCCUUCCUCAUUGGAGCCGGGGAAAUUUUAUUGUACUAGAUAGUCGAGAAGUCGUCGUGCUAAAGACCAGAUUCACAUGGAUUCACCGAAGACAAACGCCGACCGAAUAUCGUGAGAUCCGUCAGAGACAAAUAUCCACACACCCUCAGAUUACGCUAGAAGCACCACCGAAACGAGGGCUAGGCAGGUAGGCUUUUAUUUCAUCUUUAAAGAGCCGCCGCCGCCUCGUCUCUCUGAGCAGGACACAAACCCUAAGAAAACUCAGAAAAUCAUCUAAAACCAAAGCCCUCCCGCCGGCAAGGACCGGGAUCCACCACGCCUUCAUGGCCCAAGGCCAAAGGAGACGAGGUAGACCGGCAAUGACGCCGGAGGGAGGCAGGAGAAGUUAGAACGACACGAAAAAAAUGUCAAUGACAUAUAAAACAAAAUGUUGUCAUGUCAAAAUUUAUCAUGUAUUGUACAUUUUCUCUAAAAAAAUGUAUUACCCAUACCAGAAAAAAAAUAUAUAGAAAAAACAAGAAAAAGAAUUUGACAUACUAAUUUUUUUUAUAAUUCAACAUGCUAAGGAUUUCAUAUAUAGCACACAGCUAAAAAACACAAAUGUAUAUGGCAGAAACUGCUAGUUGCAAAAAAGUGAAUAAAAAUAGUAUUUUUACUAGAAAUGCCUUCAUAUAAAAUCAUACAUGGUAAAUUUGAAAAACCGUAUAAAAUGAAAUAGAAAAAAAUUCAUGCACUUAAUAAAAAUAUAAAAAGGUCAUGCUCUUAGUGAUAAAAAAAUGUCAUGCCCUUGCUAACAAAAUUGGUAAGCUCUACAAAAAUAAGAAAAUGUCAUGCUCUAUAGAAAAAAUGCCAUGCUCUUUAUAAUUAAAGGCUACGCUCCACAAAAAGUUGCCAUGCUCUUAAAAACUGCCAUGAUCUUAAUAACAAAAAUGACAUGCUCUUACAAAUAAAAAUUUCAUGGUGUAUACAAAUGCAUGCCAUGCUCUUUCUAAUAAAAAUGUCAUGCUCUUAAUAACAAAAAUGACACGCUCUUGAAAAUAAAAAUGCCAUGGUAUGUACAAAUGCCAUUCUCUUUAUAAAAAAAUGCCAUGCUCUUUAAGAUAAAAAUGCCAUGCUCUUAAUAACAAAAAUGACAUGCUCUUAGAAAUAAAAAUUUCAUGGUAUGACAAAUGCCAUGUUUUUUAUAAUAAAAAUGUCAUGCUCUAGAAAAAAUAAUGCAAUGCUCUUAAUAACAAAAAUGUCAUGCUCUUAAAAAUAAAAAUGUCAUGGUGUAUACAUUGUAAAACUAGAUCAUAAUUGGUGUGCAUUGUCACGCCCAUCCAUUAUUUCAAUAGAAUGAUGGAAUUUUCCAUGAAUAUACAGACAAAAUAUGAAAGUUCAAUUUGCAUCGGAAGGAGAAGUGAGGGGAUCCCGCUGUAGUGAAAAAUGAGUUGAGAACAUAUAGAAUGACGCAUAGGGCCGCAACCACGACCGCCAUCUUAGGUCAACUCCAAUGGGACAAUGCAUUACAUCCGUCCACAUCUGUUUCUGUCCACAUCGGCAGAAACCACAUCCCAACGCGGUGGUUGUGUCUGCUUUGAUCCAUUUCCAGCUCAAAUUUGAGUUGUCCGUUGUGUGUGUAUAUUUCGUAAGCAAGCGCCACAAAUCAUUCCAAAAUUCAACGGCUGGGAACUACUACUUGUGACGAAAUCGACAAGAGGACUAAGCAACUCAAGGAUACAUUCCCAACACACAAAACUUGGCAUAGACAAUACACAAGACCAUGGUAACACGGACAACACUGCGCACACACAUAACGCUGUAAGGACAAUCUCGCAAUAACACACACACACACACACACACACACACACACACACACACACACACACACACACACACACACACACAAAGCACAAAGCACACAAAGCACACUGCUUCACCUAUAGAGCACAUAAUACAUGUCUAGCUCACAUCCAUAUUCCAGCUGCUUGCUGCUGGAGUCGUCCGCUCUGACAUCCCAACUUCUGAUUUUGAACAGAAAACAGAAAGCAACUCUGAAAAUGCAGUAAACUGAACACUGCACUAUCGAAUUCAGAAGCAUGGCGGGGUUGGGCGCUCGGAGAGGGCGGAUGGUGUGCUCACUCCAAGCCUAAUUCCAGAUCUGGGGACAUAGGUGACGCGGUGUCGUACGAUGUGGCAUCGUUGGAGGUAGAGGACGAGGACCGUGGUGGCAUAGUUGGCUCCUGCCGCUGCUAAUGUCGACAUUUUUUCUUCAGUUUAUACGUUUUGUACUUGAGGACAAGUGCCAACAAGGCAACCGCAAGACCAAGGAGGUGCUCAAGGUGUUGAGAGGUGGUGAUAUGCCUGAAGAGUGGAACAACACCAUGAUAGUUCUGAUUCCAAAAACAACUAGACCAGAGAGAUUGAAGGACUUGCGACCCAUUAGCCUCUGCAAUGUGGUCUACAAACUAAUAUCAAAGGUAAUCACCAGAAGAUUAAAAAACAUUUUACCUGAAAUAAUAUCCCCCAAUCAAAGCGCAUUUGUGCCUGGACGCAUGAUAUCUGACAAUAUUCUUUUAGCAUAUGAAAUGACUCACUUUUUGCAGAGGAAGAGGGGUGGAAGAGUAAGUUUUGCUGCUAUCAAACUUGACAUGAGCAAGGCUUAUGAUCGAGUUGAAUGGAAGUUCUUGCAAGGAAUCAUGUUGAAACUCGGUUUCAAUGGAAGUUGGGUGCAACUCAUGAUGAAUUGUGUGACAACGGUGAAAUACCAAAUCAAAGUUAAUGGGGACGUCACAGAGAUAAUUAUUCCUGAGAGGGGGCUUCGUCAAGGUGACCCUUUCUCUCCAUAUCUCUUUCUUUUAUGCGCUGAGGGCUUCUCGGCCAUGUUACAAAAUGCUGAGAUGAAUGGGAGGUUGAUAGGAAUCAAAUUAUGUAAUACAGCCCCAAGCAUAAGUCAUCUUCUUUUUGCAGAUGAUUCACUUCUUCUCCUAGAAGUAAAUGCCGUCAGCAGUCGUGAGCUUAAUCAAAUUCUGAACUCCUAUGAAGCUUGCUCGGGCCAGGCUAUAAAUAAGGAAAAGUCAGCCAUCUUGUUCAGCAAGAAUACAAAGCUGGAGGACAAAGAGGAGCUCAUGAAUCAACUCAAUAUUGUUAUAGAAGGCUUCUCGGGAAAAUAUUUGGGUUUACCAUGCUAUAUUGGUAGAUCAAAAACCAAAGCUUUUGAAUAUAUCAAGGAAAAAGUAUGGAAAAGGUUACAAGGUGGGAAAGAAAAAUUGCUCUCAAAGGCCGGUAAGGAAGUCCUCAUCAAAGCUGUAGCGCAAGCAAUCCCUGUUUAUGUGAUGGCAUCUUUUGACCUCACCAAAUCUCUAUGUGAAGAUGUCAGCUCAAUGAUUGCGAGGUUUUGGUGGAGUCAAUUGGAUAAAGAAAAUAAAAUCCACUGGGUUGGAUGGGACAAGCUGACAAAACCCAAAAAGGAUGGAGGGCUGGGAUUUAGAGACCUAUAUUCUUUCAACUUAGCUACGUUGGCAAGGCAGGCUUGGAGAAUGCUGCAAAACCCAUCUUCCCUAUGCGCUCAAGUGAUGGCUGCUAAAUACUAUCCAAAUCAGAAUCUAUUACAAGCGAGGCCAAGAGAUGGCAUUUCAUAUAGUUGGAGAAGCAUUUUGAAAGGAGUGCGGGUGUUGCAAAGUGGAAUCAUAUGGAGAGUAGGAGAUGGACGCAGUAUCAAUAUAUGGGCAGAUCCUUGGCUACCAAGGGGUGUUUCUAGGAGAGUAAUGAUGACCCGCAAGUAUACGGGAUAGUUGUAGCCUCUUUCGAUAAGUGAGAGUGUCGAACCCAACGAGGAGCUAAAGGUAGAACAAAUACUCUCUCAAGUCCCAUCGGCCACUGAUACGACUCUACGCACGCUUGACGUUCGCUUUACCUAGAACAAGUAUGAAACUAGAAGUACUUUGUAGGUGUUGUUGGAUAGGUUUGCAAGAUAAUAAAGAACACAUAAAUAUAAACUAGGGGCUGUUUAGAUAAACAUGCAAUAAAGUAAAUAAAGCGAGUGUGGAAAAGUGGUGGUAGGAGUUGUGAAAUUGUCCCUAAGCAACUGACUACGUUACUAGACCGGUAAUCACUAUUGCAAUUCUAUUUGAGGGAGAGGCAUAGGCUAACAUACUUUCUCUACUUGGAUCAUAUGCACUUAUGAUUGGAACUCUAGCAAGCAUCCGCAACUACUAAAGAUUCAUUAAGGUAAAACCCAACCAUAGCAUUAAAGUAUCAAGUCCCCUUUUAUCCCAUACGCAAACAACCUACUUACUCGGGUCUGUGCUUCUGUCACUCAUGCCACCCACCAUAAGCAAAUCAUAAAUAUAUUGCAAACCCUACAGCGGGAAUCCCUCACGCUUGCGUGACAAGGAGGGCACAAUAGGACAGCACCAAUAAUAAAACAUGCAACUCAAACCAAUCAUAGCAAUUCAUCAAUCACCGAUAGGACAACAAAAAUCUACUCAGACAUCAUAGGAUGGCAACACAUCAUUGAAAAAUAAUAUGAAGCAUAAAGCACCAUGUUCAAGUAGAGGGUACAGAGGGUUGCGGGAGAGUGGACCGCUGUAGAUAGAGGGGGGAAGGUGAUGGAGAUGUUGGUGAAGAUGGCGGCGGUGUUGGUGAAGAUCGCGGUGAUGAUGAUGGCCCCGGGCAGCGUUCCGGCGCCACCAGAAGCAAGGGGGAGAGAUCCCCCCUUCUUCUUCUUCUUCCUUGACCUUCUCCCUAGAUGGGAGAAGGGUUUCCCCUCUGGUCCUUGGCUCCCAUGGCUUGGGAGGGGCGAGAGCCCCUCCGAGAUUGGAUAUAUCUCUCUGUUUCUGCGUUCUUAGAUUCUGCCCCUUCACCGUUUUUUUAUAUCCGGAGAUCCGUAACUCCGAUUGGGGUGAAUCUUUCGCCCAGAUCUUUCUCAUAAAAUUAGAUUUCUUGCAGCAAAAUAAGAGCGUUAACCGCCUUACGGGGGGCCCAGGAGAGUCCAGGGCAUGCCUGCCUCCCUGGGGCGCGCCCCCUAUCUCCUGACUCCCUCGGGCACCGUCUCGCGUUGAUUUUACUUCCCAAAAAUCACAAAUAUUCCAAAAUAAUUCUCCGUCCGUUUUAUCCCGUUUGGACUCCGUUUGAUAUUGGGUUUCUGCAAAACAAAAAACAUGCAACAGACAGGAACUAGCACUGGGCAUUGGAUCAAUAUGUUAGUCCCAAAAAAAUAGUAUAAAAAGUCGCCAAAAGUAUAUGAAAGUUGUAGAAUAUUGGCAUGGAACAAUCAAAAAAUGUAGAUACGACGGAGACGUAUCAAGUAACAUCUCAACAAGGCAGCCAUGUUAUCACAAAGGUUUCAGAUUUGAUUGACCCUACCUCUGGCACAUGGGAUUUACAACUAAUUGAUCAAACUUUCAACAAAGAAGAUGUAGAGGUAAUUGUCCAAAUUACGAUCCGAGAGGGCGCUAAGGACACUCCUGCCUGGCAUUUUGACAAAAAUGGUAUAUUUUCAGUAUAAUCUGCAUAUCAAGUAGUGUUGGAAAACCAAGCCAGGAACUCUGCACAUGGUGGAGCUUCGUCAUCAAGCAAGAAUGAUCAGCAUAGGAUAACAUUUUGGAAGAAACUAUGGACGUUGCCCUUGCCCAACAAGAUCAUGCACUUCCUAUGGCGACUGGCCCAUUAUAGCUUACCUCUAAGAAUGAAACUACAGAAUAGAGGAAUGGAAGUGGAUACAAGAUGUCCAGUAUGCCAUCGAAUGGAUGAAGAUGGAGGUCAUUGUUUCCUAAAGUGCAAAUUUGUCAAGGCCGUUUGGAGAACUGCAUUGUUGGAAGAAACUCGGAUGCAACUUCUCAAUUGCCCAAAUGCCAUCUCGAUGGUGGAGGAUAUCUCUGAAAGUAUGCAUCCUUUUGUGGUUAUGGUGGUCUGAAAGAAACAAAGCUAAUCAAGGAGAAAGGAAUAGGACUGAAGAGGAAAUUAUAUAUUUAGUUCAGCUGCACUUGUUGGAAUACAAAAAAUACAUCAAGCGACGGGAGCAAAAUGUGCAGGCUGUAAACCAGGUUUGGUGUCCUCCCCUUGAUGAUUUUCUUAAAAUUAAUACUGAUGGAGCCUUUAGGAUGUCAACUAAAUCAGGAGGGUGGGGUUUUACCAUAAAAAAUAAUCAUGGAAUUGCACUAGUUGCAGGAGCAGGGAGUUUGGAAAAUGUUGCUGAACCACUACAAGCUGAAGCUCUGGCCAUGCUCUAUGCUGUGAACGAAGCGUCAAGAAUGGGGUGCCAAAAAGUCAUCUUAGAGACGGAUGCAGUUGCUCUAAAGCAGGCAAUCACAAGCGACCUGUACGACUACUCAAGCCUAGGCGUGCUGUUUAAAGAGAUAAGAGCAGUGUUCAGUCAGCUUUUCAAUCUUGUAAAGUAGAAACCUGCCCACGGGCAUGUAAUAUUUCUGCACACUGUUUAGCUGCUCAUGGUGUAUGUAUGGAGCGGAAGAGCUAUCAGAUUUGGCUUGAUCCAUUUCCGAGCCAUGUAACAAAACUUGUCGCGGGCGAGUCUAGCUUGCCUUGGUAAUGGAAUACACUUCUGUUUCUAAAACAAGGCAACCGCAAGGACCACGCAACCAAGAGGGUGGUACUGUUGCUCUCAACCUUCCCAAUGGCCGAGCAUGUGCACUCAUCGGUUGUUCGUAGCCAAGAUAUGUGCAUGCAUGACUCUAGUUGAGUUGAGGUUGAGGCUCUCCUUCCACACCAUAAGUCAGGGGGCUCUAGCCCCCCCUCCCCCCCUUUCAAAAUUCCACACUGUUUACCUUGAACAAUUUUUUAUGUUUCAGUACUGAAAGGAUCGAUACGGUCGACUAGAGGGGGGGGGGGUGAAUAGGAGACUACAAAUUUUAAUCUUUCUUGUAGAUUUUAAGGCUUAGCGGAUAAAAGAGUUCACUAGAUAUGCAACUAGGUGAAUGCAACCUAUAUGACAAGCAAGCUCCAAGAUAAAUAUACUAGGCAAUAAACUACUUAGCAAGCCAACAAGCAUACAACAACAAGGAAAGGUGCGGGAAAGGAUUAACCACAAGUGAGACGAGGACGCGGAUUUUAACCCGAAGUUCACUCUUCCUUGGGGAAGAGCUAAUCUCUGUUUGGAGCGGUGCCGGAGCCAAAGCUUGCGGAACGCCACCAAAGGCUCACCGUAUUCUCCUUCGAGUCACCCCCAACGGAUGAGCCUCGAAACACUCGGGGUUGGUCUUGAAGGCGACCACCACACCUUUACAAACUUCUCCGGAGCACACCACAAGCAAGGAAGCUUCCGGAGGAACCUCUAGCCCCCUAGGAGCCCAAGCUCCAAGAGUAACAAGUCAAUGGGGAAGAAAUGUUGCGGGGAACACAAUUUGGUUUGGUCAAGAUGUAGAUCGGGUCUUGCUCUCCCAAUCCCCAAAGUUUCAACAAGUUUGGGUGGAGGGAUUGAGAGUAUUGAGCAAAAGGGGGUGUAGCAAUGGUGGAGCUCAACAAGACAUUAGGGUUGGAGGUUGGAUGUGGAAGAAGGGCCUUUAUAUAGUGUUCAGGGGCUGGUGGGGAUUUCUGCCCGUUGGACCCCGUGCGCACGGGCUAAGUCAGCCCCGUGCGCACAGGGUACUCAGAGACAAUCAUGCCACCCCGUGCGCAGGGGGUACCCAGAGAGUUACGCAGUACCCCGUGCGCACGGGGGUCAAAAGACCCCGUGCGCACGGGGUACCCAGUAGCUUUCUGUUGCAACUUUCUGAGUACCAUAGCAUACACACUAGGUCCUUAUUAGGUGGUCGGAGUGGGAAGGGUAAGAGAGUAAGGCUCGGCAAUGGCAUUCCCACACGACAUUUAUCCACACAAACCCCUCUUAAUAGUGCGGUCUUUCCUACGACUCGAAGCAAACCAAAACUAAACCUUCGAAGCGUCGAAAGACAACGCCUUUGUCCUUCUUGAAAUGGGGGGUCGCACAUCUCCAUCUGGGCACUUAGAACCAAUAACCUGAGAUAAACUUUAGCAACCGAUAUUAGUUCAACUAACCACAUUGUCAUCACACCAAAAUAAAGCAUAAGUGCCACUCGCACUUUCAAUCUCCCCCUUUUUGGUGCAUUGAUGACAACGUGGUUAGAGCAUGGCAUAGAGGAUAAAUAGAUAGAAAGCCAUGGAACAAAUAAUGAUCAUGAUAGCUCCCCCUAUAUAUGUGCCCGAAAACAAGAAUGCAUCUAGAACACCCAUAGGAGGUUCGACCAAGAUCAUUAUUGAAAAGUCAUGAGAUUCAACAAAAUAAACCUAUAACGGUGCCUAGAACUCAUGACACAGUGUGAUGAGCAAAUAAUGUGAGACCCAAUAAGCAUAAGAGGAUAAUGGCAAGGUUAAAUAAUAAAGCUAGAGUCUCACAACCACACAGACAGAAGGUAAAUAAGAGUAUCUCAAGCCAACUAAAACCAACCAACAGCGAGAAACACGAGGCUUGAGAUCUCAACACACCCACGAACGCACACCACACACCACUUCUCCCCCUUUGUCACCAAGACAACAAAAAGGAGAUAAAUGGCAACACGGGACCCAUUAGACAAGAGGAGGAGCACUCGAGGCAUCAUUAUCAUCAUAAAAACGCCACCCGGCCAUGGGGAAAGAUCGAGCAGUGGCCUCACUGUCGACGUCCUCUGAACCUGGACCGAUUUCCUCACCAGCAGCAGCCCUUGCUGCCUUCUACUCACGUCGAACAAGCUUCUCCUUGUUGAUUUCCUUGAUCUGACGAUGCUGAAUCGACUGACACAUCUUGAACAUGUUGCUCAAGGUCUUGAACAGUGACUUCUUCUCUCCCUUGGCAAAGAUGGCCUCAGAGCCAACAGACUUGGCCCGACCACGAGGGAUCCGUGCAGUAGAGGACAUGCCUGGAGUGUAGGUAGCACGAUCCUCAGGCCUAGGGUUGCGCCCCUUCUUGAUAGGCACAUAAGGAGCAGGAGCAGCUGGGGUCCAGUUGGAGUUGCGCUUGAGAACAGAAGUCUUGAAGCUGGCAAUGUACUUUGCUGGACAGACGGUCUCAAUUAAUGCCUGUAUGAAAGGAGCAUAGAUCAAGGACUUGUUCUCUUGUACACACUGAUGCAGCUCGUAGUACAUGAAAUCCAGAACAUCCACUUUCUUCUUCUGAUGAAGAUACACAAAGACAUCAAGCAUGGAGCUCCGAAUGUUAUGGGAAUCCCCGGCCUUUGGAGUGAGGGUAUACCUCAGGAUAUGGCGCAUGGUAUCAUAGAGGGGCAAGAGGUCUUUGAUUGACCCAGUGACAAAUGACUUCUCUUGUUUGUAAGCAAAGGCAAUCUCAUCUUUAGUGCGCUGCCCACUUUCCUGAACAAUGCCAAACUCAUCAGAAACGGUCUCUUCAUCCAUGAACGGGUAGGGAAUGAUCUCAGAGAACUUUGCCAUAGGAGCUGAGCACUGAUGCGUUCCAGACAUCCAUGUGAGGGUGCGAGCAGAAUCAUUGGAGAAGUACAGAGUGGCAAAGAACUGCAUCACUAGAUCUUCAUUAUAGGGGUGGUUGAAGGUGACAAACGGAAUCAGACCCAGUCGUCCAAGAGCGGAGUACACACCGGGAUACAUAUGAUCGUUGUCGCGCAAACUCUCAGUGUUGACUUGCUUGUGAGGAGCAAACUUCUUUGACUUGGUCAUAAGAAGCUCAUGAUAGACCCUUUGCUGAAACUCAUUCUUGAACCGGGGAUCCACUCCCAUACCAGUGGUAGCAACAUACGGAUGGCUCUGUCUCUCAGCCCAGAUCUCUGGCUUGGUCCACUUGAUAAGAGGCAAAUUCCGGAGAUCACGCCCGCCCGGAAUGGCUUGCUCCGGACUAGACUCCUCAUCCUCUUCUUCAUCUUCCUCACCACGAUCAUCUUCUUCUUCUAUCUCAUCAUCAUUAUUUGGAUUGGCAUAGUAAACAUCAUCUUGCGAGUCAUAUUCUUCCUCAGGAUUAUCGGAAGCCUCUACAACGGGCCGCUUUGAGGCAGCACGGCGAACACGGCCCUGACCAGACCCAGACCCCUGACCCAUGCCUUCAGACGGCUGACGACGAGCAAUGGUGAAGUCCUCUAAUCCUAUUUUUCCACGCUUGCGACGAAGCUCAGACCUCUUGUCAGCGGAGUCUGAAACACACGCAAACACCCAACAACACAAAGCACGAAACAGAAAUGAGUACAAGUGCAAGAUGAAUGGCAAGGAGAUAGACAAAAAUCUAGGCAAAAGUUCCUGGAUAGCCCGUGCACACGGGGGUUUAGACCCCGUGGGCACGGGGGUCCCGUGCGCACGGUACAGGACCAUGGGCACGGGGCCCCGUGCGCACGGGGUUCAAACACCCUGUGGACACGAGGGUCUCCCAGCAGCAGCCACUACCAGAAUGAACUCCGGGAGUGGGUGUAGCAGAGGGACCAGAGGAUCUAAGCACUAGACUUCUAUCUACUAACAGUUGAGACCAAACGAACCUAGGGAGCAAAGAAACCCUAAAGCUAGAGAAAAAGAUAGGUACACAAGGAGAUAGAUCAAGGAGGCAAGACCAACCGGAGGAGGACCCCAUCUGGAUGCAGAUCCACUAAGGAAGAACCCCGACGAAGCCCGGAGGAGCUCCGGCAAGGGGAGGCGACGGCGGCGGCGCUGGAGGCUUUCUGGGGAGUGGAGGGGGCGAAUGGGUGGAAAUGAACCCGAGCCCCCCCCCCCACGCCCCACCUCCUCAGGACCAGAAACCGCAGACCCCGUGCACACGGGCUAAGAGAUCCCCGUGCGCACGGUACAGAGCCCGUGGGCAUGGGGGCCCCGUGUGCACGAUACAGGCCCGUGCGCACGGGGUAAUCAGGAACUUUGACAUGAGUGGAUUUGUUUUAAAUACAGGGCUGAGUGUAUACUCUUACCCCUACUUCAUAAAGCACUCGGUCUACAUUUCUGAAUACGCCGCGAGGAAAGACCUAUCACUAUGGAAAGGGUAUAUGUGGAGCACUUGUACCAAAAGAUAAGCAAGGAGAACCAAACAAAAAGGAGGAAAAGAAACAACACACCACACAAGCGAAACAAACACGGACACAAUCCUCAAGCGUGGGCGGUGGCCGAGGCCACCAUGUUUGAGUUUACUUGGUAUGGCACCGCGAAGAUAUGAACCUUGGGCCCAAGACCAAUACUCAUCUUUGAAGCACAAGUACCACCUAAAGUGGCUAAUGUGAAAGAUUGAGUCUGUUUUAUGCACUUCCAGGAUAAGAUAGCUCAUGGGUUGAGCUAGCUCCCCCUAUACAUGUGCCUACAUCUAAGCAAGAUAGUACAUGAGUAUGUGUGUAUGAGCAAGAGUUUCAUCCGAAGUUACUAAUAUCCAUGAUAUUUAGCUCAUGCCUUAACUCGCGGAAUCUUGCUUCGUCAAGGGGCUUGGUGAAAAUGUCUACAAGUUGAUUCUCGGUGUUGACAUGGAGUAACUCAAUGUUUCCCUUGGCCACAUGAUCUCUAAUGAAAUGAUGAGGAAUCUGAAAGUGCUAGUUAUCAACUAGGGGGGGUGAAUAGGCGAUUUUUAUGAAAGUCUUCAAAACUUGGAAGUUUCGAAGACAAACAAUAGAAAUGACCUAAUUGAUAUGCAGCGGAAGAUAAACUACGACAAGCAAACCAUAGUCAAGUAUGCAAUGAGGUGAAAGUACAAGACUAAUAGCAGAUAAGUAGUAAGGAUCAGGAUGGAAGAUAGUAUGAAGCCAAUCAACGAUAGUAGUCAAGCAAUGAAGUCAAACAGGUACGACAGAUAGACAGUGACUACACGAAGAAAAACUUAAGUAAAGGAAGGGAGAGGAUGGAACCAGUCACUUGUUGAAGACACGUGAUUUGUUGGACCAGUUCCAGUUGCUGUGACAACUGUACAUCUGGUUAAGGAGGCUAAGAUUCAACUCAGAAGACCGCGUCUUCACCUUACUCCCCUUGAGCUAAGGACACACAGUCCUCGCCCAAUCACUCUGGUAAGUCUUCAAGGUAGACUUCCGAACCUUCACAGACUUCGUUCACCGGCAAUCCACAAUGACUCUUGGAUGCUCAGAACGCGAUGCCUAACCGGCUGGAGGAUUCACAGUCCUCAAGUGUAAUAAGUCUUCAGGUCACACAGACAGAAAGACUUCAGUGAUGCCUAACACUCUUUGGCUCUGGGUGUUUGGGCUUUGUCCUCGCAAGGAUUUCUCUCUCAAAGGCUUCGAGGUGGGUUGCUCUCAAACGACAAAAUCCGUGCACUAACUCUGAGCAGCCACCAAUUUAUGGUGUAGGGGGUGGGCUAUUUAUAGACACAAGGCAACCCGACCUGAUAUGUCCGAAAUGACCCUGGGUCACUAAGGAACUGACACGUGUUCCAACGGUCAGAUUUCAAACACACACGGCAACUUUACUUGGGCUACAAGCAAAGCUGACUCAUCCAGCUCUGGAUAAGAUUUGCUCUCAUUGUCUUCGCUCGAAGACAUAGGAUUUGGGUUGAGCAUCACUUCAGUCAUUCUGACUUUGUUCACUUGGACCCCACUUAACAGUACGGUGGUUCCUAUGACUCAACAAAGAAGAAAAAGGAAACGACGAGACGACACAGUCUUCGCGCUCCAUAGUCUUCACUCAAUGUCUUCUCAUGUCAUAGUCUUCAAUAUGAAUAUCUUCAUAUUCCACCAUUGUCUUCAAUGUCUUCAUAUAUUUUUAGGGGUCAGCUCCGGUAGGUAAACCGAAUCAAUGAGGGACACUACCUACGUUAUCCUGCAAUUCUCACAAACGCAUUAGUCCCUCAACCAACUUUGUCGUCAAUACUCCAAAACCAACUAGGGGUGGCACUAGAUGCACUUACAAUCUCCCCCUUUUUGGUGAUUGAUGACAAACUGGUUGAAGUUUUCAACGGGGAUAAAGUAUGUGAAAUUGUAAAGGAUAGGGUAUUGUCUUCAUAAGUAGCAAGGGCUCCCCCUGAAGAUGUGCAUAUAAGUAAUUUGCUUUUGGAAUGCAAAUGCACAUGGCAGGUUGUACUUGUGGAGAUCCACUUCAACUUAUGAAGAUAAUUCAUCAUGCAUGAAAUGAUAUAGCAAAUAGAAUGACAUGUAUAAUGAAAAAUGGAAGUCUGCAGAAUGAUCUAAGUGCGGAAGUUAUCAUCGCACAUGCGGAAUUUAUCAUCGCAUCACAGUAAAGCAAAUAAGUAGCAGACGACCAUCGAGUUUAAGUGUUACAACUCAAAGAACCAAAUGUAUCAAAAGCGAGAGUUGUAGGCACGAGGCAAAAUAUAAAGCAACCGCCCAUAUGAACCCACUUGAAGACUAUCAGACUCAUAUGCUUCUCCCCCUUUUGUCAGUAAGGACCAAAAAGGUUUGAAGACAUAGAGCAUCUACUCGUCCUCAUGAGUAGGUGAAGCAGCAGGGUUGUCGUUGUUGUUUGGUGGUGCAGACGUACUUGGUGCAGUGUUGAUGCGUGCAGAAGUAGGGGGCGGUGAAGUAGCAUCAUCUUCAUCAUCGAUCACUCUGGCAUUCACAGUUGUCGCGGAGGAAGAAUAGUCAGAGUCUUCAAGGGAUGGAGUUCGACGUAGGACAACAGUCCGUGGAGGAGUGGAGUCAAACUUGAAUCUUUCAGUGAAGCCAUCGUCUUGAAGAUCUGCUUCAGCACUAAGCAGCGUCAAACUCUUCCAUGAUUGCCGACAAGUCUCGUGUGCGAGAAAUGCAUUCUUGGUGGCAAGAUUUCGAAUGCGAUUGACGUCCACCAAGAGGCUUUGCAUCUGUCUCUUGAGCCAAAAGUGAUGCUUAUCUUGUUUCUGAUGAAGUGCCACAAGAAGUUCUCGGUCAUUGAGAACGCGAGAGCGCUUCGGAGGCCUUUGGGAAAUGGUGCUUUCAGUAGCUUCAGUUUGUGCACGAUGAGGCAGACGAGUGUUCCCAGCCAUUGGAUAGAUACGUGUUACUGCUUGGACGCCUUCAAUGGGUUGAGUGAAGCUUUGGUGCUCGACAUUUUGAAGACAAAGAGGCUUCUUGUCAGGCUCAGAGUAUAUGGCUUCAACUAACAUAUCAACCUCUGGUAGAAAGAUCAGAUGAUUGCGAGCAGAGGGCUGAUAGUUGACAGAGGAGUGUCGCUUGAUGAGGCGCAUGACCCAUGGAGCAUAGAAUUUCAGGCCAAAAAGGUCAGAUCCAGACGCAGCAAGUUGCUGGAUGAAGAAUUCUUGUGAAUUGAAGCUGAUGCCAUUGAGGAUGUAAAAGACCAAUGUCUUCAUGGCUCCUUCAAGUUUGGUCGCUGAUGAAUGCCCUUUGAUAGGCCAUAGAGUUUGCCUGAUGAUGUGACAGAUUGUGCGAGGCAGAUACUCAAGGUCAUCAACAAAGAACUCCUUUGGGUAUUCAGUGUCAGAUGGCAAAGGCUUCAUCAUGCUCAACAUCUGGCUCAUGUUGGGUUCUGGCUUAUGGAAGAUGCUCUCCAGUGCAUUGCGGUGGAGUUGACAAUCAGGUUCAUACAGCUCUCCAGGAGUGGGUAGGCCUGUAAGCUCAAUGACGUCAAGAGCUUUGACUUCAUGAUGAACAUUUCCGGUCAUCCACUCAAGAACCCAUGUUUUUAUAUCCCUGUUGUAGCCGCGAAUGUGGAGGGUAGCAUAUAAUUGAAGCAAGAGUUCCUCAUUCCAAUGUUCUUUGUCUGUCACAAAGCUGAGUAGACCUGCAUCACGGAAGCAGUCAAGUGCUUCUUCUAAGCAUGGCAGUCCAGCAAUGGCUUCAGUGUUGAGGCGCAUAUGAGGGAAAAUGCGCCCUUGAUCAUACAGAAUGCAGGAGUAAUAGCUUCUCUGCUGAUAGCUCCAGAAAUGAUCAGAUGAUAUUCUUUGUUUGGAGUAGGGGUUCUUUGCGCUGUCAAAGAAGGUGUUGUGGCUUUUGAAGCCAUUUGCAUUGAAGGACCCUGUAGAGUUUGCAGUACCUGGGAACCUUGGCAGUCUUGGCUUUGGUUUCUGGACCUGAGGCCUAUGCUCAACAUGAUAAUCAAACUGAGGACCAGAGGCAGUAGGCGGAGGGACCAGAAUGGGCCAUCGGAUAGUGGUUAGCUGACCAUGAUUGUAUGCUUUCUCAAUUGUAUAGGGCCUUGGUGGCGGAACAUGAGCAGUGACAACAGCUGAGGCUUCAGGCUGCACAACAGACACUUGAGGAGCAGGUGCAGCAUUGGCUUCGGGCACACUGGUUGGUGCAGGCUCCACAUUCACUUCAGCCAUGAUUAUAUCAUUGGCUUCAUUUGUGUUGGUGGUGGCAGCCUCAGCAUUUUCAACCCCCACUUGAUUAGCUGGAGGGUCGGGCACUAGCACGUUCACAUCAGGAACAACUUCUGCAGUACUGGGGGGAGUAGGGACAUGUACGUCUUCUUGAUUGUCAUCGGCUGAUGCAGCCGGAUUGUCUUCAGCAGCUUGGGCUUCAGACACGGAGACGUUCAUAGUUGGAGUGGCUUCAGGAAACACUUGACGUGCAACAGGUUGGUGAUGCACUUCUCCUUCUGGAACGCUCGAAAGAGGGACUUGAGGCCUUUGUCCUUUGCGAAGCCUACGGAAUGCUGGCAAUGCCUUUGGAGAUGGAGUUGGCUGGGCCUCAAAGUCUUCUUCUUCUUGCACAGGUGGUGUGACUUGUGGUUGUUGUUGGGGAGUACUUGGGGAGUCUUGUUGCUGUGGGUGAUCAGCCCAUGAUGCAUCCUGAGCAAUUGGCGUCAGGGGACGACCAAUGCUGAUGAGUUCGCUGUUCAUGAGAACAGGCGAUGAUACCAAGUUGUGUUCGAUCUGAGGAAGAACUUCAUCAUCUUCAACAUUGUCAUGGUGACCAAUGUCUUCAGCAGCGGUGGGAUCGACUGCUGGAAUGUCUUCAGCUUCAUGAGCCUCUGUGGAAGCAGGCUCAUGAACUAUCAUCCGUCGUUCUUGGUGUUUAGAUGCAGGGCGAACCACUGAGAUAGGUUCAACAACUAAGGGCUCUGUGGGAGCAGCCCGAUUCUUCUUGGUUUUGCGCUUAUUCUUGGAGGGAGCAACAUCAGAGGCUUCAGUAUUCUUCCUUUUUCUGGCUUCAGCCUCGGCAGCCCUCGUCUUCUUCUGUUCUGAAGCGGUUGACAUGACCUUUGGCUUUGAGCCAGUCAUGCUGCUUGGGAAGAUUAUGCGAGGUGCUUCCUGCCCUGAAGGUGCAGAUUGAGCAGUAGAUAGCUUCUUCUUCUUUGCAGCCAUUCUGGGGUCAAUGCCAGGACGACCAAGAGACUUGCGCUUCUCAGCCUCAUUGUAGGCUAGCACACAUUUGUCAGCCAGACUCUUCAUACGCUCACGAGAGCCCUGAGCUUCUUCGCGCUUCUUGAGAAAGGCUUCUUUAAGCUCGUGCAGCAUGGUCUUGAAGUUUCUGACAUCUUGCACGCUGAGCUUUGCCACAUGCUUCUUGAACUGAGCUUUCUCAUAAUCAAUCUUGUGCUUCAGCUCAACGAUGCGCUGAGCGAGAGUAGCUCAGAAGCAAUGGCGCCAUUGAAGGAGACGCUGAGGCCAAUGGGAAGCUACAGAUCUUCAAAGCUGAGAUUUGGGGUGUCAAAUCACUCAUCAAUGAAGUUUUGGAUGAUUGCCACAUCGAAGAGAGGCAAGUUAUUGAAGAUCUCUGCUUCUUCCUUGCUCUUGAUCAGUUGCUCAAGGGCAUCAUCUGCAAGAUCUUCAUCGCUGGACAGAUCAAUGGGUUCUUCUCGCAGAAUGGCAGCAGGAGUCAAGGUCUGAUCAGUAUGCUUGAUGAUUUUAUUUGCCUUCUCCGUCUUCUUGAAGAUACGUGAUUGAUCUUCAGACUGCACACUGUCUUCAGGAGGUGCAGUGGCCAGUGGCUUCACACGUGAAGCUUUUGGAGGUGCAACUGAUCUUGAAGCCUUAGGCUUCUUUAGCUUCUGCGGCUUCGGAGGAGGAGCUGGGGCUUCAUUAGUGUCAGCAUCAUUAUCAGAAUGAUCCACUUUGGCACCUUGGACCAAGAUGUAAGUAAUGAGGCCAUCAAGGUUGGAGAAGGGGCCAAUGACAUUUGGAUCAGCAUCACGUGAGCCGUCAGCACGGGGAGCAGAGGGACCAGGGUUGAAGUCUAAUCCCAAUGACUUCUUGUUUUCCUUGGCCGAUGCCUUUGCGUGCUGGAAGUUGCGCUUGAUGAGAGUAUCGUCACGACACCAGAGCAAUGAUGAUGGGUCGGCAUUCUCAGGCUGAGGUCCACAGACCAUACAAGGAUAGAAACCCUGUGCAAUAGCUUCAGCUCUGUUCUUGGGUUGAAGGCCUCGAUAGAGAAUAUCACCCCAAGGACUUUUGAUAGCAUUCUUCUCUGCAUAUUCCUGGGUCACGAACUUGUACUUGAACCAUUCUUCAGCCCAAUAGCGUCAAAUCCAUUGGAUUCGUGUCUUGCGCCGAUGAUAAUUCUCCUCAGGAUCUGUCUUGUAAAGUUCUGCGAGGUCAUCAGGCAAAUAUUUUGAUGUUCCCCCACGACGCUGUCUGCCACCCUUCCUUACAGAUUUCUCUGCGGCCAUGAACUUCAAACUGAAUGGCUUCAAUACGUUCAAAGGCUUCAAAGACUUUCGCUUGCUGGACAAACAUGAACUGGCUUCGGGAGAGUUAAUGUGAUGCUGUAAGAAUUCUGCAAAUGAAUGCAGACUAUAAGAACCAAAGGAUUCUCCCACGGACAUGUACCUGUGACAGCAUUAGAGAUGCGAGGGAAGGGGAAGAGGUCAUAUGCAUUCUCAGAAGAUUUUGAAGAUAAAUCGGUUUGAAGACAUUGACCUCAUGAUGCAAAGACAUUCACUUAUAUGUUGAGAGUUGGUUCCAGAUUUGUACGAAUCCGUGAAUAAGUACAAGUGAGGAAUCAAACUAGAUAUGAAGUUUAAGUGAAUAGACUAGGCAGUAUGAGAUGCAGACAGAAGAGAUCUAACAAUGUGUAGGCAGAAACCACUUUUGGUAGAUAGCAUGAAUCUGUGAAGAUCAAAAAGGCAGUAAAAAUAGAGUUAUAUUUACCACACGAAGAACUGCUAGAUGGGAUGAACAGGAGACCGAGCAGUUCAAUCCACCGUGCCCUAACUUGGCGACGGAGGAUACCUACGGCGACGGCGGAGAGGACGAUAUCCGCAGCCGGCGUGAGGACGGCGUCGGAGAGGUCGCGACAGCUAAGCGCUUCGUCGCCGGCGUCGUCGAGAGCUAGCGGUGGCGCUAGGGUUUUGACGAGGUGGAGAGGUGGAAGAAGGUUUUCUUUACCGCAUGGGACAUGUAUUUAUAAGGAAGUGUGCGGCACAGCGCAAUUACGCAGGUGCCCCUGGCGGUUCACAUCUGAGGGGCACGUGGCAAGCAUGCAACAUACUCAGAGUUGUCCCACGUUCCCUCGCCCGCCAGGCAUGUCGGAUGGUUGUUCCGGCUUCUCCGGAUAUAGAAAAUAAAGAUGAGUCAUUUAAAACAGACUUAAUAUUUGUCUCUGUGUCUUCUGCUGACUAGGACACAGAGAAGACAUUCAACAGUUUCAAUAGAAUGCAUAUGAUUUGGACAGAUAGAGUUUGAGAUAGAAAGCAUAGAGAGAUUAGGGUCUGAUCACAUUCACUUAGUUCAAAAGAUUCAAAUAGGAAGACAUAGNNNNNNNNNNNNNNNNNNNNNNNNNNNNNNNNNNNNNNNNNNNNNNNNNNNNNNNNNNNNNNNNNNNNNNNNNNNNNNNNNNNNNNNNNNNNNNNNNNNNNNNNNNNNNNNNNNNNNNNNNNNNNNNNNNNNNNNNNNNNNNNNNNNNNNNNNNNNNNNNNNNNNNNNNNNNNNNNNNNNNNNNNNNNNNNNNNNNNNNNNNNNNNNNNNNNNNNNNNNNNNNNNNNNNNNNNNNNNNNNNNNNNNNNNNNNNNNNNNNNNNNNNNNNNNNNNNNNNNNNNNNNNUAUAUAUCGGAAAGCAAUCAAACCAUCAUAGUGAAGAAAAUCAUGAAGAUAAAUUGAAACUGAAGACUAACCAAAUGCGAAGUCAUUGCAAAAAUAACACCAUGAGUGAAACACUUCAAAUCGAGAAAUUUGGUGGUGGCGUUACCCACCUUAUAGGAAGUAUUAGACCCAGACACUGCGCACAAUUAUCGUGGCACUCCGAAGUCAUAUUCCACGUUAAUGUAUUCACACUUAGAGUGUAAGUCUUCAUUUAUUGAAGAUAUACAUUACUUCAUUGUUGCACAUCUAAGUCGUCAACAUGCAUAAGUGUUAGGAUGUGUGCCUGAUCACAGGACAUUUGAGGAUUCCAAGAUAUUUAGCUCACACCGUAACUUGCAAAACCUUUUCUCAUCCAAGGGCUUUGUGAAGAUAUCUGCCAGUUGCUCUUCAGUGUUGACGUGAAUGAUGUCAAUAUCUUUCUUCAUGACAUGAUCUCUGAGAAAGUGAUGACGAAUUUCAAUGUGCUUUGUCUUCGAGUGCUGGACUGGAUUGUUGGCAAUCUUGAUGGCGCUUUCGUUGUCGCAGAAGAGAGGCACUUGUUUCAGAUUGAUGGCAUAGUUCUUGAGAGUUUGCUUCAUCCAUAGAAGUUGAGCGCAACAGGAUCCAGCAGCAAUGUAUUCAGAUUCAGCAGUUGAGAGUGAUACACAGUUCUGCUUCUUUGAAGACCAACAGACAAGUGAUCGACCCAGAAAGUGACAUGUGCCUGAUGUAGACUUGCGAUCCACCUUGUCACCAGCAUAAUCAGCAUCCGAGAAUACAACCAAAUCAAAUUUUGAGCCCUUUGGAUACCAUAAUCCGAGUGUCGGGGUGUAAGCCAAAUAUCGAAGAAUUCGCUUCACUACUAAGUGAUGCGAUUCUUUUGGUGCCGCUUGGAAUCGAGCACACAUGCAAACACUAAGCAUAAUAUCUGGCCUAGAUGCACAUAGAUAAAGUAAAGAACCAAUCAUGGAGCGGUAUACCUUUUGAUCGAACUCUUUACCAUUAUCGUCGGGACCAAGAUGGUGUUUGGCUGGCAUUGGCGUCGUGUAACCUUUGCAAUCUUCCAUUCCAAACUUCUUCAGACAAUCUUUGAGGUAUUUUUCUUGAGAUAUGAAGAUGCCAUUCCUUUGCUGACGAAUUUGAAGACAAAGGAAGAAUUUCAGCUCACCCAUCAUGGACAUCUGAUAUUGCUCUUGCAUCAUGUAUCCAAACUCAUCACUGUACUUCUGGUUGGUGCAGCCGAAGAUAAUGUCAUCCACAUAUAUCUGGCACACAAACAAUUCACCAUCAUAUGUCUUCAUGAAGAGUGUAGGAUCAAGGGAUCCAGGUUUGAAGCCUUUGCUCUUCAAGAAGUCUUUGAUUGUAUCAUACCAAGCCCGAGGUGCUUGUUUGAGGCCAUACAGUGCUUUGUUUAGCUUGUACACCAUAUCAGGAUGUUUUGGAUCUUCAAAGCCAGGUGGUUGAGCGACAUAUACUUCUUCUUCAAUCUUGACAUUGAGAAAUGCACUCUUCACAUCCAUUUGAUAUAGCAAGAUGUUGUGGUGGUUAGCAUAGGCUAGCAGUAUGCGAAUAGCUUCAAGCCUAGCAACAAGAGCAAAUGUUUCAUCAAAGUCAAUUCCUUCAACUUGAGUAUAUCCUUGAGCCACAAGACGUGUUUUGUUUCUGACGACUUGACCAUGCUCAUCUUGCUUGUUUCGAUAUAUCCAUUUUGUACCAAUAAUGUUAUGCUUGCGAGGGUCACUUGACAAGUUCCCAAACAAUGUUCAACUUGAACUGUUGAAGUUCUUCUUGCAUAGCUUGAAUCCAUUCAGGUUCCAUGAAGGCUUCAGCAACUUUCUUGGGUUCUGAUAUUGAUACAAACGAAAAGUGCCCACAGAAAUUUGCUAACUGUGUUGCUCUUAAGCGAGUGAGUGGACCAGGUGCAUUGAUGCUAUCAAUUAUCUUCUCAAUUUGUACUUCAUUUGCAACUCGAGGAUGAACUGGACGAAGACUUUGCUCUUGCUGAUCAUUAUCAUCAUUGGGAGGAUUGUCUUCGGUCUGAGCAUUGUCUUCAGGUUGGUUAGGUGCAGAAAUGAUAAGUUCCUCUUUAGGUUGUGCUUCAGAAGGCAUGAUUUCACCAGUUCCCAUCAGCUUGAUAGAUUCGCUGGGCGGAGCUUCGUCUAGUGUACUUGGUAGGAGUUCUCUUUGUGAACCAUUUGUUUCAUCAAAUCGCACGUCCACAGUUUCGACGAUUUUGUAGUGAUAGAGGUUGAAGACUCUGUAGGAGUGCGAGUCCUUUCCAUAGCCAAGCAUGAAGCCUUCGUGAGCUUUAGUGCAAAUUUUGACUUGUGAUGGGGAUCCUUGAUCCAGCACCUAGCUCCAAAUACUCUGAAGUAGCUGACAUUUGGCUUCUUGCCAGUAAGGAACUCAUAGGAUGUUUUGUUCAUAAGCUUAUGGAUGUAAACACGGUUGAUGAUGUGACAUGCUGUGUCAAUAGCUUCAGGCCAAAACUUUCUUGGUGUCUUGUAUUCGUUGAGCAUUGUUCGAGCCAUCUCAAUGAGGGUUCUGUUCUUGCGCUCAACGAUGCCAUUUUGCUGAGGUGUGUAUGGAGCAGAGAACUCAUGAGUGAUUCCCAUUGUAUCCAGAUAAAGAUCCAAGUCCGGUGUUCUUGAAUUCAGUGCCAUUGUCACUUAUGAUAUGCUUGAUCUUCACGCCAUAAUUGUUCAUUGCUCGAUUGGCAAAGCGUCUGAAGACAUCUUGCACUUCAGUCUUGUAGAGAAUUAUGUGCACCCAUGUGUAUCUUGAGUAGUCAUCAACAAUGAUGAAGCCAUAGAGACAAGCAGUUGUUGUGAGGGUUGAGUAGUGAGUAGGUCCAAAUAAGUCCAUGUGUAAUAGCUCAAAAGGUUGAGAUGUCGUCAUGAUUGUCUUCGAGGGAUGCUUGGCCCUAGUCAUCUUUCCAGCUUCGCAGGCACCACACAGAUGAUCCUUCUUGAACUUGACACCCUCGAUGCCUAUGACAUGCUUCUUCUUGACUUGUGUGUGUAAGUUCCUCAUGCCAGCAUGCCCCAGCCUCCGAUGCCAGAGCCAGUAUUCUGAAGCUUUUGCGAGAAGACAUACGGCAAGCUGUGGACCUGCUGAGAAAUCUACCAUGUAUAGAUCAUCUUUUCGAUACCCUUCAAAGACUAGAGACUUGUCAGAUUCCAUUAGUACAAGGCAACGAUAUUUUCCGAAUAGCAUAAUCAUGUUCAAGUCACAAAGCAUUGAGACAGACAUUAAGUUGAAACCAAGGGAUUUAACAAGCAUCACUUUAUCCAUGUGUUGAUCCUUUGAGAUUGCAACUCUACCUAGACCCAAUACCUUGCUUUUACCAAUGUCAGCAAAUGUGAUGUGACUCUUGUCGGAUGGACGUAAGGUUGAGUCCAUGAGAAGACUUCGAUCACCAGUCAUAUGAUUUGUGCAUCCGCUGUCCAUAAUCCAUUCUAAAGCUUUUGGUGACAUACCCUACAGUGCAGUUAGGAGGAUAGGCUUCACAAGGAGUGUUGUGAAGCAUAAGCAUUUGACACACACAAGGAUUGUCACAGCUUAGAUCAAGGUUAGGACUCAUAGUAUGACUGGUAAGCGAUUCAGAUGUGAAAUAUAUAGUAAGACAUUUUAUCAUGCGUCCUUAAUGUUUUUUAGGUCCCCAGCAAUAGCAUCGGACGCCUGUGAUUGCAGACUGGAGACCUUUCUCUGCAAAAGAAAGUUAAUUCUUCUUCACCACCCACAUUUUCAGGGGUGGCUUAGAAGCAAUGAGUCUAAGUGCAGCAUCUGAGAAUUUUGGCUUUGGAGCCCUAGCAAAUAGCCUUGCAGGAGAUGAAUGAUACUCAUAUGAAUAAGCAGAAAAGUUCUUAGUUCUAUGAACAUAGUGGUUUGAAGACACACGCUCAUAUUCAUAAGUCUGAGUAUGAUUUCCCUGCAAAACAUAGGCGUUAGGGUGACUCAGGUGAGUCCUGUAUCUGUAUGAAGCCUUUGGGCCAUAUGAAGCCAUAGGUCUGGGGUUUGUCUUCUUCCUUGGUGGUGUCAUGACGACAUUCACAUGAAGAUUCUCAAUGAACUGCUUAGGUACCCAGAUCUUCUUCAUAGGUGGUCCAUUCCUGCAGUUAGUACCAAUAUACCUGGCAAACACUUCACCAUUCUGAUUCUUGAACAGCUUAUAGUUUGCAUCAAAGGAUUCAUCAAUGAUAAUAGGAUUAGCACAGGUAAAGCCAGAUAAGGUGGAUGGAUCCACUGAAGGUUCCUUUGCAGCAACCCAUGUGGUUUUGGGAUACUGCUCAGGCUUCCAGUAGGAGCCAUCAACAUUCAUUUUCCUCUCAAAACCAACACCCUCUUUCCUAGGGUUUCGGUUCAAAAUCUGCUUUUUGAGGACAUCACAGAGUGUCUGAUGUCCUUUCAGACUUUUAUACAUCCCUGUUUCAAGCAAUUUCUUCAACCUAGCAUUUUCAUCAGCAAUAGUAGUGGUAUCCUCUGCAGAGGGGUUAGUUACCACAUCAGUAGUUGAAGACAAUGCAACAGUAGCAGCAGUGGAACAUUCAGCAACAGAGGUAGCGUUAUCACGCUCAAUGCAUUUUAGACAUGGUGGUUCAAAUUCAUCCUGAGCGGGACUGAUCUGUUGAGCGCGAAGUGACUCAUUUUCUUUUUGAAGAUCUUCAUGAGCCGCUCUCAAUUUCUCGAGCUCUUGCUUCCUUUGAAGAUAAUCAUAGGAGAGCUUUUCAUAAGUGGUUGAGAGCGUUUCAUGAUGACUUUCAAGUUCUUGGUACUUAGCAUGAAAAUUUUUAUGUCCUCAACUAAGGACUGCGAACGUGUCAUUUCCGCGUCCAACAGGUCAUCGCUUUUGUCUAACAGUUUUUGAGUAUGUUCCAUAGCUUUUUGUUGUUCAGUUGCAAUCUUAGCAAGUGUUUUGUAGCUGGGUUUGGAUUCACAAUCAGAGUCAUCUUCACUUGAUGUUUGGAAGUAAGCAUCACGUGAUUUUACCUUGGCACCUCGUGCCAUGAAGCAGUAGGUGGGAGUAGGAUCGUCUUCGUCAUCAGCUUCAGCGUUGGUGUGGAAGUCAUUGUCUUCAGUGUUGAAGAUGGACUUGGCAACAUAAAUUGUGGCUAGAGCCAGACUUGCAACGCCAGGGUCGGACUCCUCUCCAGACUCCACCUCCGCCUCCUCAGAAGCAGACUCCUCCUCUGAAUCCAUUUCCUUGCCAAAAAAAGCACGAGCCUUGCCAGAUGAGCUCUUCUUGUGUGAUGAAGACUUGGAAGAAGACUUAGAAGAAGACUUUGAGAAUUUCUUCUUAUUCUUGUCAUCAGCAUCAUAUUCUUUGUUCUUCUUCUUCUUCUUCUUCUCAUUGUCCCACUGUGGACACUCAGAUAUGUAGUGACCGGGUUUCUUGCACUUGUGGCAGGUUCUCUUCUUAUGGUCAUGGGUGGAAGCUUCAUCAUUCCUUGAGCUGGAUCGUGAAGACUUUCUGAAGCCUUUCUUCUUGGUGAAUUUCUGGAACUUCUUCACAAGCAUAACAAUUUCCUUUCCAAUGUCUUCAGGAUCAUCAUAACUACAGUCAGAUUCUUCUUCAGAUGAGGAAACAACUUUUGCCUUCAAUGCGCGAGUUCGGCCAUAGUUGGGACCAUAGAUAUCUGUUUUCUCAGAAAGCUGGAACUCAUGUGUGUUGAGCCUCUCAAGUAUAUCAGACGGAUCGAGUGUCUUAAAGUCAGGACGUUCUUGUAUCAUAAGGGCAAGGGUGUCAAAGGAGCUGUCAAGUGAUCUCAGUAGUGUCUUGACGAUUUCAUGCUUGGUAAUCUCAGUUGUGCCGAGAGCUUGAAGCUCAUUUGUGAUGUCAGUGAGGCGAUCGAACGUGAGCUGGACAUUUUCAUUGUCGUUUCUCUUGAAGCGGUUGAAGAGGUUGCGAAGAACACUGAUCCUUUGAUCUCUCCGGGUUGAGACGCCUUCGUUGACCUUGGAUAGCCAGUCCCAGACUAGCUUCGACGUUUCCAGAGCACUCACACGGCCAUACUGUCCUUUUGGUCAGAUGACCACAGAUAAUGUUCUUGGCAGUAGAGUCCAGUUGAAUGAACUUCUUGACAUCAGUAGGGGUGACACCUUCACCAGUUUUGGGAACGUCGUUCUUGAUGACAUACCAGAGGUCGACAUCAAUGGCUUCAAGAUGCAUACACAUCUUAUUCUUCCAGUAGGGAUAUUCAGUUCCACCGAACACGGGGCAAGCAGCGGAGACUUUGAUUAUCCCUGCAGUCGACAUAGCUAAAACUCCAAGUGGUUAAACCGAAUCACACAGAACAAGGGAGUACCUUGCUCUGAUACCAAUUGAAAGUGCUAGUUAUCGACUAGGGGGGUGAAUAGGCGAUUUUAAUGAAAGUCUUCAAAACUUGGAUGUUUUGAAGACAAACAAUAGAAAUGACCUAAUUGACAUGCAGCGGAAGAUAAACUACGACAAGCAAACCAUAGUCAAGUAUGCAAUGAGGUGAAAGUACAAGACUAAUAGCAGCUAAGUAGUAAGGAUCAGGAUGGAAGAUAGUAUGAAGCCAAUCAACAAUAGUAGUCAAGCAAUGAAGUCAAACAGGUACGACAGAUAGAUAGUGACUACACGAAGACAAACUUAAGUAAAGGAAGGGAGAGGAUGGAACCAGUCACUUGUUGAAGACAUGGGAUUUAUUGGACCAGUUCCAGUUGCUGUGACAACUGUACGUCUAGUUAGGGAGGCUGAGAUUCAACUCACAAGACCGCAUCUUCACCUUAUUCCCCUUGAGCUAAGGACACACAGUCCUCGCCCAAUCACUCUGUUAAGUCUUCAAGGUAGACUUCCGAACCUUCACAGACUUCGUUCACCGGCAAUCCACAAUGACUCUUGGAUGCUCAGAACGCGACGCCUAACCGGCUGGAGGAUUCACAGUCCUCAAGUGUAAUAAGUCUUCAGGUCACACAGACAGAAAGACUUCAGUGAUGCCUAACACUCUUUGGCUCUGGGUGUUUGGGCUUUGUCCUCGCAAGGAUUUCUCUCUCAAAGGCUUCGAGGUGGGUUACUCUCAAACAACAAAAGCCGUGCACUAACUCUGAGCAGCCACCAAUUUAUGGUGUAGGGGGUGGGCUAUUUAUAGCCACAAGGCAACCCGACCUGAUAUGUCCGAAAUGACCCUGGGUCACUAAGGAACUGACACGUGUUCCAACGGUCAGAUUUCAAACACACACGGCAACUUUACUUGGGCUACAAGCAAAGCUGACUCAUCCAGCUCUGGAUAAGAUUUGCUCUCAUUGUCUUCGCUCGAAGACAUAGGAUUUGGGUUGAGCAUCACUUCAGUCAUUCUGACUUUGUUCACUUGGACCCCACUUAACAGUAUGGUGGUUCCUAUGACUCAACAAAGAAGAAAAAGGAAAUGACGAGAUGACACAGUCUUCGCGCUCCAUAGUCUUCACUCAAUGUCUUCUCAUUUCAUAGUCUUCAAUAUGAAUAUCUUCAUAUUCCACCACUGUCUUCAAUGUCUUCAUACAUUUUUAGGGGUCAUCUCCGAUAGGUAAACCGAAUCAAUGAGGGACAUCACCUGCGUUAUCCUGCAAUUCUCACAAACGCAUUAGUCCCUCAACCAACUUUGUCGUCAAUACUCCAAAACCAACUAGGGGUGGCACUAGAUGCACUUACAGAAUCUCAAUGUGCUUGGUCUUGCUAUGUUGAACCGGAUUCUCGGCGAUCUUGAUGGCACUUUCAUUGUCACACCAAAGAGGCACUUUGUCACAUUUGACACCAUAAUCCAUCAAAGUUUGCCUCAUCCAUAAUAAUUGGGCACAACAACUUCCGGCAGCAAUAGACUCGGCUUCGGCUGUGGAGACAGAUAUACAACUUUGUUUCUUUGAAGACCAAUUUACCAAUGACCUCCCUAGAAAUUGACAUGAACCGGAGGUGGACUUGCGAUCAACCUUGUCUCCGGCCCAAUCCAAAUCUGAGUAACCCAUUAACUCAAAUGAUGAUCCCUUGGGAUACCAAAGGCCCAAGUUUGGGGUAUGAACCAAAUAUCGAAGGAUCCUUUUCACUGCCGAAUAGUGGCUCUCCUUAGGAGCAGAUCGAAAUCUUGCACACAUACACACACUCAACAUAAUAUCUGGCCUAGAUUCACAAAGGUAAAGCAAGGAACCGAUCAUAGAGCGAUAUACCUUUUGAUCCACUUCUUUACCAUUUGGAUCAAGAUGAAGUCGACCAUUUGUGGCCAUGGGUGUCUUCUUUGGCUGGAUAUCUUGCAUUUUGAAUCUCUUGAGCAUGUCUUGGAUAUAACGAGAUUGAUUGAUGAAGGUUCCGCCUCAAUUGCUUCACUUGAAAACCGAGAAAGAACUUCAACUCUCCCAUCAUGCUCAUUGCAAAUUCCUUAGUCAUAAGAUUCGCAAACUCAACGUUAAUAGCAUGGUUAGUUGACCCAAAGAUAAUAUCAUCAACAUAUAUUUGGCAGACAAACAACUCUCCUUUUACCCUCUUUGUAAAGAGAGUGGAAUCUAUUACCCCAAUCUGGAACCCUUUCUUGCUUAGGAACGACGUAAGGUGAUCAUACCAAGCAUGAGGUGCUUGUUUGAGUCCAUAGAGUGCCUUAUGGAGUUCAUAAACGUGAGAGGGAUGAUCGGGGUCUUCAAAACUGGGAGGUUGCUUGACAUACACUAACUCCUUAAGAGGACCAUUAAGAAAAGCGCUCUUAACAUCCAUUUGAUAUAAUUUGAAAUCAUAAUGAGAGGCAUAAGCAAGCAAGAUGCGCAUGGAUUCGAGACGGGCAAUGGGGGAUAAAGUUUCACCAAAGUCCAAACCUUCAACUUGGGUGAAACCUUGUGCCACUAACCUUGCCUUGUUCCUUAUUACUUGUCCAUAUUCAUCUUGUUUGUUCUUGAAAAUCCACUUUGUUCCAAUGACAUUAUGAAAUUCCUUGGGUCUUUCUACAAGGUUCCAUACUUUGUUGUGUGUGAAGUUGUUGAGUUCUUCAUGCAUGGCAUCUAUCCAAUCCGGAUCGUCAAGUGCAUCUUCCACCUUAAGGGGUUCAACACAAGAGACAAACGAGUGAUGUUCACAAAAUUUUGCCAAACGUCUACGAGUAGUUACCCCCUUUUUGAUGCUUCUGUAGAUGUUCUCGGUGAGGUGUUGAAGAUGUUUCAGCUUGGCGGCCACUUUUUGCUCUUUGCGGUCAAGCUCUUCUUCACUUGGUUUUGGACUUGAUGAAGAGGCUUGCCCUUGAGAUUGCUUUAACCUUGGAGACACUCUUCUCUUUGCAACCACAGGUUCUUGCUCUGUAGGAAGUGAUGACGAUGAAGACACAUGUGGUUGGGGUUGAUCUUGAUCAUGAUCAUGACUUUGAGCUUGAUCUUGAGCCUCAACGAUUGGUUCUUCAUUAUUCGGAAGAGUUUGCUCUAGAUCUUGCUUAGGAAUAUGAGGGUCUUGAUCUUGUUCUUGGAUAGGUUCAUUAUUUCCUGAAGCAUCUUGGACAAGUGGUGUCGGUGAUGACUUUCCUUGUGGAGAAUCCUCAAGAGGGGCUCUUAUUCCUUCUUCUUCUACUUGGACAUGGGGUGUUUCUUGUGGGAGAAUGUGGCCUAUCCCCAUUGUCCUUAUAGCUUGUGAAGGAGCCUCAUCACCUACAACACUAGGAACAAUUUGCUCCAAGCGGGAGCCGUUAUCUUCAUCAAACUCCACAUUUACUGUUUCCUCAAUGCAUCCAGUGGAUUUAUUGAGAACUCGGUAAGCAUGAGAGUUUGAUGCAUAUCCAACAUAUAUGCCCUCAUAAGUUCUAGACUCAAAUUUAGCUAACCGGGAUUUUUUGUUUAAAAUGAAACACUUACAACUAAAUACCCGAAAGUAUUUGACGUUGGGCUUUCUCCCGAUUAGGAGCUCAUAAGGGGUCUUGUUCUUGAGCUUGCGAAGAUAAAGCCGGUUUGAAGCAUGGCACGCGGUGUUGAUGGCUUCUGCCCAAAGCUUGUAUGGUGAUUUGUACUCAUCAAGCAUGGUCCUACCAUCUCAAUAAGAGUCCGAUUCUUCCUCUCCGCAACCCCAUUUUGUUGGGGAGUAUAUGGUGAGGCAUAUUGGUGCUUUAUCCCCUCUUCACUCAAGAAAUCAUCCAUUGUAUAGUUUUUGAACUCGGUGCCAUUGUCACUCCGGAUUGCCUUGAUCUCACAGUUAUGUUGACGUUGAGCUUCUUUGGCAAAGUUGAUGAAGGUUUCUUGAGUUUCAUCUUUAGUCUUGAGAAAGAACACCCAAAUAUAUCUUGUGAAGUCAUCAACAAUGACAAGGCAAUAUCUCCUUCCUCCCAAACUAUCAUAUGUUGGAGGCCCAAAUAGAUCCAAAUGGAUAAGCUCGAGGGGCCUCAAGGUGGUGAUGAUAGUCUUCACCUUGUGAGCUUUUUCAUGAAGCUUUCCGGCAAUGCAAGCACUACAAGGACGAUCUUUGGCAAAAGACACAUUGGUUAGUCCAAGAAUGUGCUCCCCCUUUAAGAGAGCUUGUAAAUUUCUCAUGCCCACGUGGGCUAGCCUACGGUGCCAUAGCCACCCCACGUCGGCCUUGGCCAUUAGGCAUGUUGCAAGAUGAGUUUUCUCUUUCGAGAAAUCAACCACGUAAAGGUUGUCUUCAACAUGCCCAACGAAGACCACUUUGAGAUUGCUUCUCUUAAAGACGGUCACAUGGAAUUCACCAAAAUGUGAAUCAUAUCCGGCACGAGCCAAUUGAAUAGUUGAAAGUAAAUUGUAGUGAAGGGAUUGGACAAGCAUGACAUUUGAAAGAGAUGAAUCAUUAGAGAUUACCACCUUGCCCAAACCUAAUACCUUGCCCUUGCUAUUGUCACCGAAGGAGAUGUUCGAAGAGGCCUUGAGUGAAUCAACGAACUCCAUGAGCAUCUCCCUUUCUCCGGUCAUAUGAUUGGUGCAUCCACUGUCGAUCACCCAUUGAGUUCCACCGAAGACAUAGUCCUACAAUAAUCAAGCUUUGGUUAUAGGUACCCAUUUUGCAAUGGGUCCUGGCGAGUUAGCAACAAGGAUCUUGGGAACCCAAAUAGUCCAAGCAUAAUCAUCAUAGUUAGUUCCAACAAAUUUUGCAAAGGUAUGGCCAUCAUCUCCUCUCAUGAGAACAUAUGAUGGAUUGUUCUUGCCGGCAAAAUUCUUGGGAAUGGCCUUGUCCCUAAUGACCUUUCCAUUCCCAACACCCUUCCUUUCCUUCUCCUUCUCCUUGUGCCCUUCAUGCACAAACACUACCUUUUGGGGAGGGGAAGGAGUCGGACCGAUCUUCUUCUUGUUCUUCUUCUUCCUUUUCUUACCACUCUUAGAUGCGGGAUUAAACCCAACUCCCUCCUUGGAAACACACUCCUUUUGGUUGCUCAAGAGGUCGUUUAGAUUUUUCUCCCCUUGGAUGCAUGAUACAAGCCCUUUCCCAAUUUGAGCUUUCAACUUCUUAUUUUCCUCUUGAAGGAAAGUGCAAUCAUGAGCAAAGUUAGCAGUACAAGCAUCAUCAUUUAAAUCAAUAUGAGGUACGCAAGUGAGAGCCUUAAUGGUUGUAGCUUUUAGUUGGGCAUAAGACUCGGUGAGGGCAAUGAGAUCACCUUUGACAACCUUGGAACUAAUCACAAGGAACUCAUGCUCCUCAACAAGUCUUGUAUGGUCAACUAGAAGCUUUUCAACUCUAACGUUAAGAGCAUCUUUAUUCUCAAGAGCAAGUUGCAAAGCAUCGUUGGUUUUAACAAAGUCAAUUUGAUGAGCAGAUAAGGGUUCCUCAAGUGAUGCUCUCAUGACACUCUCUUCAUUAAGUUCGUGCUCGAGGAGAUCCACUCUCUCUUUUUCCUCUAUAAGGAGGUUCUCAACGUUCUCAAUAUCGUGUUCGGCAAGUGACUUAAGGAGAUCGCCAAAACGAGCACGAGCUUCACCAUGAAGAGUUUUCAUGAAAGCCAUUAAGGAUUCCUCAUCAUUAUCCACACCCUCCUCACACUCAUCCUCCACUAUCUCACAUGAGACAUUGGGAGUGUAGUUGUCGGGUUUCUUGGGUUCGGACUUAGCUUUUACCUCUUUGGACAUGAGGCACCGAUGAGUGAAUGGCUUGUCCUCGUUUGGAGAGUCGAAGAGCCCGGUGGUGGAGGAGGAGGUAGUGGCAUGCAUGGCAAAGGCGGCCGUGCCCACUUGAUCAUCAUCACCGUCAUCUUCAUCUCCAGACAUGUAUUCUUCAUGAACAAGAGCCUUGUCAUCCUUCCUCUUUGCAAACUUGGUGAACUUCUUCUUCUUAAGCACAAGCUUCUCGGACUUGUCUUCAUGUCUCUCAUAUGGACAAUCAUGAACAAAGUGUCUUGGGCUAUCACAAUUGUAGCAUUUCCUUCGUCCAAAAGAUCUUCCUUGAAGAUUUCUUCCUUUGUUUGCCAUGGUCCCGGAGUACUUUUUGACUAAGAGAGCCAAGUCUUCCGCAAAAUCAUUUGCCAGACACGAGGUGUCAUUAUCCUCCUCACCUAUCUCUUCACUCACUUCUUCCUCCCUUGAGGGUUGGCUCACCACUUUCUUGGCCUUCAAGGCAAGAUUGGAGUUCUUGGUUGCUUGAGCUAUUGCAAAUGUUUUCUUGGACUUGGUUUCCAAAAGAACAUGGGUAGAGAAGGUGUAAACAACUUGAGCCGAAGUCAGCUUGUGAUAGUCCGGACGUUGAUGAACCAUCAUGACCAUGGUAUGUUCCGUGAGAACCAUAGCAUCUAUGAACUUGUCCUUGAUGAAGUCAUCAUUUGCCCAAAUGCACCCAAAGGUUCUCAAGUUGAGCACAAGAGACUUCAACCUUCGGUAAACCUCUUCUGCGGACUCACCCUCAUUCCUCACAAAGAGAUUAACUUCUUGUUUGAGCAAGGCCAAACGAGAUCUUCGAAUUGCUUCAUCCCCUUCAAGAGCCUCCUCAAGGCAAUCCCAAAUUUCCUUUGCGGUUUUGAGAAGAGCAAUGGAAUCACUAUAGUCUUCAGUCACAGCGUUGCGAAGCAUGUUGUGUGCGGUAGCAUUGAGUUGAUCGUCAACUGCUUCUCUUGGAGUGAGAUUCAUUGGGUCCUUGGGGUUGAAUCCAUUGACCACAAUCCACCACAAUUGAGUUGAAGCACUGCGCAUGUGAGACUCCAUAUCUAGCUUCCACUUAGCAAAGGCAUUAGCUUUCAAAGGGGGCGGAGGCCCAACAUGAUUAAUGCGGGGAUGUUGCAAGGGUUGAGGAGAGUAAAAGGGUUCCACGACAUUGUACUUGUGAACUUGAGUACGAGACGGAGAAGCAAGAGGUUCCCUCGAGUCAUACGCAUCAUGAACUUCAUUUGGAUUAAACGAGUUUGAUGCGGACGUUGAUGGCUUUAAGCGGGCAUCAAUUUCCUCCUUGACCGAGGCCCGAACCUCUUUCAUCAUAGAGACUUUGAGGUCCGCAAACAUUGAAAGAAGAUCGGCCACGGUCAAGGGGACAUUCGGGUUAGGAGGAGCGGCGGGAGCAACGACAGGAGAACCAAGUGUCUCGGUCGUGGCGGGGGGUUGGUUUUGAUCAUCCUCCGCAACGGGUAAGUCACCUCCCUCAUUCCCUAGAUCGACCAUAUCCUCAAAUGUUGUAAAACCUUAUAUUAGAGCACGAGGCUCUGAUACCAAUUGAAAGGAUCGAUACGGUCGACUAGAGGGGGGGUGAAUAGGAGACUACAAAUUUUAAUCUUUCUUGUAGAUUUUAAGGCUUAGCGGAUAAAAGAGUUCACUAGAUAUGCAACUAGGUGAAUGCAACCUAUAUGACAAGCAAGCUCCAAGAUAAAUAUACUAGGCAACAAACUACUUAGCAAGCCAACAAGCAUACAACAACAAGGAAAGGUGCGGGAAAGGAUUAACCACAAGUGAGACGAGGACGCGGAUUUUAACCCGAAGUUCACUCUUCCUUGGGGAAGAGCUAAUCUCCGUUUGGAGCAGUGCCGGAGCCAAAGCUUGCGGAACGCCACCAAAGGCUCACCGUAUUCUCCUUCGAGUCACCCCCAACGGAUGAGCCUCGAAACACUCGGGGUUGGUCUUGAAGGCGACCACCACACCUUUACAAACUUCUCCGGAGCACACCACAAGCAAGGAAGCUUCCGGAGGAACCUCUAGCCCCCUAGGAGCCCAAGCUCCAAGAGUAACAAGUCAAUGGGGAAGAAAUGUUGUGGGGAACACGAUUUGGUUUGGUCAAGAUGUAGAUCGGGUCUUGCUCUCCCAAUCCCCAAAGUUUCAACAAGUUUGGGUGGAGGGAUUGAGAGUAUUGAGCAAAAGGGGGUGUAGCAAUGGUGGAGCUCAACAAGACAUUAGGGUUGGAGGUUGGAGGUGGAAGAAGGGCCUUUAUAUAGUGUUCAUGGGCUGGUGGGGAUUUCUGCCCGUUGGACCCCGUGCGCACGGGCUAAGUCAGCCCCGUGCGCACGGGGUACUCAGAGACAAUCACGCCACCCCGUGCGCACGGGGGUCAAAAGACCCCGUGCGCACGGGGUACCCAGAGAGUUACGUAGUACCCCAUGCGCACGGGGGUCAAAAGACCCCGUGCGCACGGGGUACCCAGUAGCUUUCUGUUGCAACUUUCUGAGUACCACAGCAUACACACUAGGUCCUUAUUAGGUGGUCGGAGUGGGAAGGGUAAGAGAGUAAGGCUCGGCAAUGGCAUUCCCACACGACAUUUAUCCACACAAACCCCUCUUAAUAGUGCGGUCUUUCCUACGACUCGAAGCAAACCAAAACUAAACCUUCGAAGCGUCGAAAGACAACGCCUUUGUCCUUUUUGAAAUGGGGGGUCGCACAUCUCCAUCGCGGGCACUUAGAACCAAUAACCUGAGAUAAAAUUUAGCAACCGAUAUUAGUUCAACUAACCACAUUGUCAUCACACCAAAAUAAAGCAUAAGCGCCACUCGCACUUUCAAGUACAUACACAACAUACUAUUUAAAUAACUAACAUGUUGAUUUAAGGUCCUUAUGAAGCCCUUAAGUACCUCACACAACUGGCUAGUGUUGAAAUUGAUGUCAGUCUCCUUUUGCUUGUUUACUAUGUAAUUUACAUGCAAUGGAAUCGAUUGUUUUUUAUGUGCCAAAUAACUUGCAUGUAUGGUCUGUGAAAGGAAACAAAACGGUUCCUAUGUCUCUUGUAUAUCUCUUGAGCUGUAGUCUAGUUUGCUUAUUUGCUAGUGUUUUCUGGUAGUGUCAACUACUCCUUGGUUGUUAUUUAUGUGUUAUUGGGGACUGACUUUGCAAUGCAACAUGGUUGAGAUGCUUGUUGAUAAAAUUGAAUGGCUAAGAUGCCUUGUAUGUUUAAAAUUGAAUGGUUGCAUUGAACUCUAGUGGUCGGCUUGUCAGCCAUAAAAGUUGAAAUUGAGGUCAAUGAAAUCUUUAGUCAUUGUUUGCCCUCGUUGUUUAAUUUAUUGAGUGAUGAAACAACCAACUUUUGGUUGAAGCAUCAACCAUUUUUCCAAAGAAUAUGAAUGUUGCUAUUUUUAUUUAUAACUAGUCACAGGCGCAAAACAUGUAGCAAUGAGAACUCAACAGGAACAUUCAUCACGUCUAGGUGGGUAGUAGCCAAUCUUCAUCGAUUUGAUAUUGUCCAAACCAACCCGAACCGGACCCAUUGCCAUCCUUCAUUAGCAUGGGAGGUAACUCAACUCUGUUUGUUCCAUUCUUUGAUCUGUAUGUAAUAACAUAUACAAGGCACACACAUGAACAAAUUGAAAUCUGCCAUAGGCCACGACUUGCUUCUAAUCAAUGCUAUCGAGAAUGAUGUCGAUGGUGAGCCGGUUGUUGCGGCUGAAGCAGCAACCAUAGUCGUGGAGGCCCUUGCCCAUGAAAAAGAAAAAAAAAGAAAUAUCAAUCUAACAAAAAGGAAAAGAAAAGGAAUCAAAACUUCGUCCGGGUUUAUUAGGCCCCUUUUAUUUGGAGCUUUAGUACAAAAUUGUAUUAAAGCUGUGUCAACUAAUUUGGAUCGGAGGGAGUAAUAUAAUGUAAAGUGUAUGUCAUAAAAAUUAUACUAGGGAAAAGCCCUUUCAAAUACAAAUCCAAUAAUAUACUUUUUGUUUCGUAGAAUUUAUAUUUUUGUUAGUUAAUAAAUGGUCAAAGUUUGACCCAAAAUACUAGGAGGGCCUAUAAAUCUGGACCGAGAUAGUACUUUCGAGGGCCUAUAAAUCUAGACCGAGAUAAUACUUCAGAACACGCGCUAGCCAAGGAAAUAGAACUAAAAAAGGCGGUCCUCAGAUGACCUAGCACAUGUGAUGAAACCACAUUGAUGUCACGUUAUUUCAUGGGAUGGGUCUGCUUGUAGUCAGAUGGCUUCACGUCUUUUCACAUGAUGGCCACAGUGGCCUGGUGGGAUGGAGCAACUAGCAUAGAAAAGCAGCUUCAGGUGCAAGAAUAGAAAAACGAAAUCUGAGCCAUUGGAUGGGAGAUGAUUGGCACAGAUCAUGGUGGAGGAGACUGUUCCCACUUAAUGUACAUUUGACGAAACACCCCCUAGAAAUAGAUAGAUAUGAACCCUCACUUUUGCAGUAACAACCUCAUGUCCCUCGUCCAUUUCCAAAUCUGCAGAACGUUGAUGCCAACCCUUUCAAGCAUGUCAAUAUUCCAUUAUAUGUGAAAAUUAAGUCACCCCCUUGACGCACAACUAAAUGUAUAUGUCAUACUGGAUCAUCCAAAACAGAACUACUAUUUUCUACGGAUUAUGCAACAUAAAAUUAAAGUCAACAUUAAGCUUAUCUAGUAAUAUGCACCCACAUCUGAAUAGGCUGGUCAAAAUCUAUGUGAGCAAGGUAUUCCAUUUCUGGGUCCACUUUGAUCAGUGGCGGAGCUAUGUUGGGGCCGGGGGGGCCGCUGCCCCCCAGCCUUUUACCAAUUUCUGAAGAAAUUUUUUUAGGGAGACUUAGAUUAGAACAUUUUUAGCAUUUGGCCCCCCCAGACACUGAUGAUUUGUGUUUCGCCCCCCCAGAGUUUUUCGGCUAGCUCCGCCACUGACUUUGAUCCACAUACAAUGAUACAUAACAUGAGAUGAUUAUCUUUAUUACAUGACCAGCAAAACUGAAUAUUAAGUGCUACUAAAAUGGUCACCGCUCAACGAGCAUUCUAAUUAAACUGUACUAGCUUUAUUUUUUAGAUCGUACACGUACAUGACAGAAUAUUAUUCAGUUGAACUUUGCCUCCAGCUCUAAUGCUUGUCGCUCAUCGAGCUUCAUUUGCAGGGUUAGAUAACACCAAAAGAAUAUGAUUCAGUUCAACAGAGGAACUAAAAUUAUCUUGCGGGCAAAUGAGCUUCGCCCUUGCUGUCAUAAACAAGAGAAGCCUUUGUUAAACACUUCUUCUGUCCAUAUGAACUUUGGAAGCUUCUGUUGACAGAGCAUCACUCAUCUACAAAAACACGAACAAGUUUAUAGUUCACAUCACACUACUAGGAAAAUGGUUAUAGAUGGGAUUGACACUAAUGGCGCACCAGAAAGAUGAUGCGCCAUUAGUAUAUACUAAUGGCGCACCACAAUCUGAUGCGCCAUUAGAGUUUAAACAACUAAUGGCGCAUCAUGCUACGGGUGCGCCAUUAGUAUCAAAUUUUUUUUAACUAGUGCGCCUGUCCAAACAUACUAAUGGCGCAUCCCGGCAAAGUGCGCCAUUAGUAGUUGUAACUACUAAUGGCGCACCAGGCAGCAGGUGCGCCAUUAGUAUAGAAUUUUUUUUUUGAACUAGUGCGCCUAUCCAAACAUACUAAUGGCGCAUCCUGCCCAAGUGCGCCAUUAGUAGUUGUAACUACUAAUGGCGCACCAGGCAGUGGGUGCGCCAUUAGUAUAGGAUUUUUUUUUGAACUAGUGCGCCUAUCCAAACAUACUAAUGGCGCAUCCUGCUUAAAUGCGCCAUUAGUAGUUGUAAGUACUAAUGGCGCACCAUGCAAGAGGUGCGCCAUUAGUAAGUGGGCAGCAACAAGAUAUUUGGGACAGCCUCUCCUACCCACACACUCACUUUCUCCCCACUUCAUUCUCUCCACCUCCUCCUUGUCUCGGGUGCCUCCUCUUUUUCACCUCAUUUCCACCAUAGAUUCAUUCAAAUUAAGUGGUUAAAUUACCUUGUUUUAAUAGGUAAGUAAGGGGGGAAGCUAUAUUUAGGUUGUUCUCCUUACAACAAUGUGCACAUGCACUUUUUACGGCCUAGCUAGAUCUAUGUAUGUUCGUGGUGUUGCAUAUGUUUGUGGUGUUGCAUAUGUGUUUGUGUUUGAAGGUGUACCGGUAUUUGAUAUGCGAUAGUUGCCAAUAUUUUGCCAGAAUGUUGAUUCAUUUUCGUUUCGGCGAGAAUUUUGGCAUUAAGCAUUCUUUUUGGUCCUAUUUUUAGGGAAGGUCAUGCCAAAUUUUUGUUUGGUUCUAAAAUAUCGUUUUGCUCUACCCCGCAGGCGACCAUGGUCCGCACGAUGACCGAAGGCAUCGUGAAUAGGUUUUUGAGGUCCGCGAAGGCCGAGAUGCUUCAAAAGAAUGAGACGGAGAUAAGAUGUCCGUGUCGAAGAUGCAAGCUGAAGAGCCUUAUUGCGGACCCGGAUUCCGGGCAGGUGCGGGACCACCUGCUGUUGCGUGGUUUCAUGGAUGGCUAUCGGUGGCAAGGUGAUGAAGAUGACUACGAAGUCGUCCAUGCGGGCCGGGCAAGAAAUGAGGAAGGGCAGCAAGACAACCACCGCGGCUCGGGCGGGCGAGAAGACGAAGAAUCCCCAGGAGAUGAUCACGACUGUGAUGCUGUACACAGUCAUCAUGUAGAAGAUGCAGGACAUGAUGAUGAGGAAGAUGCCGGAGCAGGCGACGGGCAUGAUCAUGAAGAUGAUGAUGCCGGCGGAGCAGACGACGCUGGACCAUCGAUGGGCUGGGUGCAGGACCCUCAUAUUCAAGAGCUGCUUCUCAAGAAGACGGAUAACGCAAGAGCUGCCGCCCGAGAGAAAGCCAAGAUGGAUCAACUUGAGUUAGACGCGGUUACUCCAUUGUAUGAAGGAUGCAGGCCCGAGGAUACCCGCCUGAAAGUAACGCUCAUGGCCCUGGAGAUGAAGGUAAAACACAAAAUGACCGACGCAUGCUUCGACGAGAACAUGUCAUUCUGGCACGAACGUCUUCCCAAGGGGAACAAGUGCCCGACCAGUUUGGAGGAGGCGAAGAAAAUCGUGUGUCCUCUGGAUUUACCGCACGUGAAAUACCAUGUGUGCAUGAACAAUUGCAUCAUUUAUCGGGACGAGCACGCGGAGUCUACAAUAUGUCCGGUGUGCGGUGUCACUCGAUACAAGAAGAGGAAGAAAGCUCCUCGAAAAGUGGUGUGGUACUUUCCGAUCACUCCUCGUCUGCAGCGGUAUUUCGCGGAUUCUAAGGUAGCAAAGCUCCUACGUUGGCACGCGGAUAGGGAGGAGAAGAAGCGAGAAGAUGACGCAAAUGAUCCGGAGAUAGAUAAAAAAGACAAGAUGCUGAGUCACCCUAAGGAUGCGAGCCAGUGGCAAGCAUUGAACUUCGAAUACCCAGAAUUUGGGAACGAUCCAAGGAACAUCGUGCUGGGCGCGAGCACCGAUGGAGUCAAUCCGUUUGGCAGCCAGAGAAGCACACAUAGCACCUGGCCUGUGUUUGUGUGGAUGUACAACCUUCCCCCCUGGUUGUGCAUGAAGAGGAAGUACAUUCACAUGAGUAUGCUAAUUGAAGGGCCGAAACAACCAGGGAACGACAUCAAUCUGUAUCUGGGGCUGCUGAAAGAGGAGCUUGACACGCUGUGGAAAACGCCAGCCAAUACGUGGGACGCCGCAGAGAAAGAAUAUUUCCCUAUGAGAGCCGCACUGCUCACGACGGUGCACAACUAUCUCGGUUACGGAUAUCUUGCGGGGCAGGUAGUCCACGGAUUUUCUGGAUGCGUAAGGUGCAUGGAUGACACAACGUAUCGCCAGCUAGAUAGAGAUCCCGGGUCUUCGAAAACCGUGUUCAUGGGACAUCGAAGGUGGCUUCGCGACGAUGACCCAUGGAGGAAACGCAAGGAUCUGUUCGAUGGUGAAACCGAACCCCGAAAACGCCCGUGUACGAGGAGCGGCGAGGAAAUAGACAAGCUGUUGAAAAAUUGGAAAGACUGCCCACUGCCGGGAAAGAAGCAAAAGGCGCCAGAGCCGGGAAAGAAGCGAAAGGCGCCAGAGCCGCUGCUGAAGGUAUGGAAAACGAGGUCUGUUUUCUGGGACUUGCCGUACUGGAAGAUCCACCGUGUGCCUCACAGCCUUGAUGUCAUGCAUAUCACGAAGAACGUGUACGAGAGUCUGCUUGGUACCCUGCUCAACAUGCCAGAGAGGACCAAAGAUGGGCCGAAAGCAAGGGCAGACUUGAAAUCAAUGGGCAUCAGGCAGGAGCUUCACGCUAUAUAUGAUGAUGAUGAUGAUGAUGAUGAUGAUGAUGAUGAUGAUGAUGAUGAUGAUGAUGAGGCGAAGCAGGACACAGAAAGUCGUCGCAAAGGCAAAAAGGCCAAGAAGACCGGAAAUGACUACCCUCCUGCGUGCUUCACUCUAAGUCAGGAGGAGAUCGAGCAGUUUUUCACCUGCCUCCAGGAGUAAAACUUCCUUACGGUUACGCGGGGAAGAUAAGCAGAUACCUAGACCCAGCGAAGCAGAAGUUCAGCGGGAUGAAGUCUCACGACUGUCACGUGCUGAUGACGCAGAUACUUCCAGUUGCAAUCCGUGGGAUCAUGGACGCGCACGUCCGUGAAACGCUAUUUGGCCUAUGCAACUUCUUCGACGUCAUCUCUCGGAAGUCGAUUGGCGUGAGGCAACUCAGAAGGCUACAGGAAGAGAUCGUGGUGAUACUAUGCGAGCUUGAGAUGUACUUUCCGCCCGCAUUCUUCGACGUUAUGGUGCAUCUGCUGGUCCAUAUAGUGGAGGAUAUCAUCCAACUCGGGCUGACGUUCCUGCACAGCAUGAUGCCGUUCGAAAGGAUGAAUGGUGUCAUCAAAGGAUACGUUCGCAACAUGUCACGUCCAGAAGGAAGCAUAGCCAGGGGCUUUCUGACCGAAGAGUGCAUCUCCUACUGCACGAAUUAUCUAGGCAUCAAGAACCCCGUUGGUCUGCCCGUCAACAGGCACCUCGGCAGGCUCGCUGGAUGGGGUCACCGUGAGGGUCGCCGCGAAAUGCAUGUCGACUUCGAGGGUCGACUCGCCGACUUUGAAAGAGCAAACCUAGUCGCGCUACAACACAUAGACAUGGUCGAUCCUUGGUUGGUAGAGCACAAAACCUUUAUUAAAAAGACGUACAAUGACCGAGGCCAACAGAGGACGGACGGAGAUAUACUCAAAGAGCACAACUCAUGUUUCACGCGUUGGUUCAAGCAUAAGCUUCUGUCGUACCCUUUACAUGAGGAUUCUUCCGCGGAAGAACAACUCAUAUUCGCCUUGUCACAGGGCGCCGAGCACAACCUGAUGACCUAUGAGGCGUACGAUAUCAACGGCUACACAUUCUACACCGAGGCCAAGGACAUGAAGAGUGAUGGUUAUCAGAACUCCGGGGUAACGAUGGAAUCCUACACCAGUAACGACAAGGACAGAUACUACGGAAGGAUCGAGGAGAUCUGGGAGCUGAGCUACGCUGGAGAGAAGGUCCCGAUGUUCCGUGUCAGAUGGGCCAAGAACGUCAUAAAAGAAGACCGGUAUUUCACCACCAUGGUUAUACCCGAAGCCAAAUCCAAGACCGCGGGCGCAAACGUCACCGCAAAAAAUGAGCCAUGGGUACUGGCUUCCCAAGUGGACUAAUGCUUCUUCAUUACCGACCCGCCAAAGCCCAGUCGUGUUGUCGUGAGGAGAGGCAAAAGGAAGAUCAUCGGAAUGGAUGGAGUAGCCAAUGAGCAAGACUUCGACAAGUACGGCGACCCGAGGAUCGAACAUGACGACGAUGAUGAAGUAGCAGCAUACACCACAAGAAGAAGCAGGACCACCCUACCUAAAGGACGUCCGUUCCACAGAAGAACUCCAUUUGCGAAAAAUAAGGGCAAGAAGAUUGUGAACAGAUAGCUAGCUAAGAUCGAUUGUAUUUAAAUUGUAGCCUUCAUUUCUCGAUUGUAUUUCAUGGGUACUUUUUGAACUAUCAUGAAUAUUUUUAAAUUUCAUGGACACUCGAUCUCGAUCCCCCUCCAUCUCGAUCGCUAUCCCACCUUGCCAGAUCCGGCCCCCCUCGCCGCCGAGCACCCCCCAGUCCACCGGCCGCCGCCGCCGACCCCCCGCACCCUCGAUUCCCCUACCCAACCGCCGCCGCCGACCCCCCGCACCCCGCGCACCGUCUUAUAAAAAAAAUUAGUAUCAAACAGCUUUUUAAAUGCUACUGUCUUAUAAAAAAAAUAUUACUGUUAUUAUUUAAACAAGUUUGAACAUAUUUAAACACAAAUAANNNNNNNNNNNNNNNNNNNNNNNNNNNNNNNNNNNNNNNNNNNNNNNNNNNNNNNNNNNNNNNNNNNNNNNNNNNNNNNNNNNNNNNNNNNNNNNNNNNNNNNNNNNNNNNNNNNNNNNNNNNNNNNNNNNNNNNNNNNNNNNNNNNNNNNNNNNNNNNNNNNNNNNNNNNNNNNNNNNNNNNNNNNNNNNNNNNNNNNNNNNNNNNNNNNNNNNNNNNNNNNNNNNNNNNNNNNNNNNNNNNNNNNNNNNNNNNNNNNNNNNNNNNNNNNNNNNNNNNNNNNNNNNNNNNNNNNNNNNNNNNNCUUUUUAAAUGCUAAAAAAAAAUUUGUGGAGCCCACCUCGAUCCCCCUCCAUCUCGACCGCUAUCCCACCUCGCCAGAUCCGGUCCCCCUCGGCGCCGAGCACCCCCCAAGUCCACCGGCCGCCGCCGCCGACCCACCGCACCCUCGAUUCCCCGGCCUACUCAACCGCCGCCGCCGACCCCCCGCACCGCGCGCACCGUCUUAUAAAAAAAAUAAGUAUCAAACAGCUUUUUAAAUGCUACUGUCUUAUAAAAAAAUAUUACUGUUAUUAUUUAAACAAGUUUGAACAUAUUUAAACAUAAAUAAGUAUCAAACAGCUUUUUAAAUGAUAAAAAAAAUUUGUGGAGCCUAGGAGUCGAACCCAGGACCUCCUGGUGUGAGAACUGGCUGCUGACCAGUCGAGCUAGUAGAGUGGGCUUGACGUGGAUAGGUUCUGGUAGUACAUAACCUUUUGGCUCGAGUUGAAAUAAAAAAAAUACUAAUGGCGCACCACGGUGAGGUGCGCCAUUAGUAUGGACAUGCUAAUGGCGCACCACAGUGAGGUGCGCCAUUAGUAUUGUGGCCCGAUCCCCCUUCGCCCGAUCCCCCCUUCGCCCGAUCCCCCCUUCCCUCUCCCCCUCGCCAGUUCUCUCCCCCUNNNNNNNNNNNNNNNNNNNNNNNNNNNNNNNNNNNNNNNNNNNNNNNNNNNNNNNNNNNNNNNNNNNNNNNNNNNNNNNNNNNNNNNNNNNNNNNNNNCCGCCUCGACGCUGCCCCGCCGCCCCGACGCCGCCUCGACCCCGCCCCGACGCCGCUGCCCCACCUCGACCCCGCCCCGUCCACACCACCGUCGCCGGGGCACCCGUCCUCCCUCCGCGGCCUCUCCGGCUGCUACGAGUGCCGCGCCAUCAACGUCGAGCCCGUCUCAAGGUCUGCCGCCUGCCUAUGCCUAUGUCAGAUUUUUCUGGUGCAAAUCAUAUCUGGGGGGGGAGGUUGGCAGAGCUAGGCGUCCUCGCGGAAGAAAUAAUCACCGUGCACACGUUGUGGUCUUUGCUGCUUGUGCAUAAACACCAGAUAUAGAAAAAACAGCUAUUUAUCUCUCCCUGCAAAUUGACUGAUGCUAGUAUAGAUAUUUAGUAGAAUGAGCAGAGUUUGGUUUAUAAAUGUACCUUGGAAUUCGAUGUUCUUCAUGACAUCAAGGUCGAUGCCAGAGGCCACCUGGUAGAGUGUCACCAAGGUCUGAAGAAGAAAAGGAGUCCAUUAAAAAGAGAUAUUGCUCUUUCUAGCUUACAAGGUUCAUUAUAACAACAUAUUACGCGAAGCAACAGGAUUGCAUCCUACCGCAAUAGUAGAAAUUACGCAAGGAGACCAGGAGUCUAUUAGUGGUCAUUACUGCUAGUCAAAGGAAGUAGUGAACCAAAAUCUCAAUGUCCCUCUACAAGUUAUGGCAUACAAAGACUGGAAACUUUCGGUUAAAAAAAUUCCUCUUUCUCUGAACAAAAACAUUUUCAUUCAGUUAAAUGCAAAUUCACAAGUACAACCAUCCACAGUAAAGGAGCUAUGAACAUAUUAUUAUUUUGGUUACAGAAGCAUCCACACCAAAAUAUACAGGGAUGUAAAAAACACUUAGAAAGAAAGCACUUCAUCAAAACAAAGAGUUAAACCACAUGACAGAUAGGUAAGCUCUCCAUACAAAGCAUCCUAAAAUCGGUGCUGCACACAACAGUUGUUCUUGAGAUCGUGGUGGUGGGUAUAAUUGAUGGAUUCAAUUACAUCAUACAAUAUGCAAAUCGGCAAGCGCGCACAAUGAAAAUGUGAGUAACUCUUUUGCUAAGAGAGAACAGUGUUUCCUGACCAACAAUGAGACUACUAAUAGCAACUUAAUGAGACGACCGAAUAAACAUACACAGGCAUAGGCAGUACACCUAGCAAUCUGACAUGGCAUCACAUAUUCACUAAAAGGCAUAGGCAUAGGCAAGAUUUUUCUGGUGCAAAUCAUGUAAUAAAGAACUGAAAGGGAGUCAGUUAGUAUGGCCACCUAAAGUUCGGUCCAGGAUGGACGAAGCUCCAAAAGUUUGAAUUUGAGAUCGAGGGAGAACUUCUGGGGUUCUGUUGUGGGUUAUGAUUCCUCGUACAACGCUCACAACCUGAAUAGAUAUGAUUUUCUGUUGUGAGAAGUUGAAGGAUUUGAGGUUGGCUCCUGUUGAAACUUGGCUAGAGAUACAACUUUGUUUUGUCAUUGGGAAGUGUAAAGCAUUGGAGAAGAUUUAUUGUUGAUGCUCACACCUCCAGAAUAUUUAGUUAAAACCUUCUGCUGAACUCAUUAAGUUGUUGACUGCGCAUUAUGGAGAAAAUUGUAUUUCUGCAACCAGAUUCAGCUACUGUCGUUACAACACUGUCUUUUGAGUAAAUUGAGACUCCACAUCAUCACUGACAUCGCAGGGCCAUUUCUGUCAGAUCCGUUGUCGAACUCCUCUAACUUGGAAACUUGGGUUAUGUGUUACUCUUUCUUCUGAAGUUGUGCUUCUGUGUUAUAAAUCUCUGAAGUUGUGGUUCUGCAAAAAUCGUGCCGCUGAAGUUGUUUGUUAGUGCUUCAAGUUAUUUAUCUUCUUUUAGGUUAUUUAUCACUUGUGUUAUUAUUAUACAUCUUGUGCUCAUCUUGUUUAGCUUAGGUUGUUGGUACACUUAGUUUUUGGGCCUCAACAUAUUUACCAUUUGUGUUUGAAAACUAAACAAGUAGUUUGUUUAUACAUUUGAACCUAAUACCAAUUCAUUCAUCUCCAUACCACUGCAGACACAACAGAACAGAGGCACUUCAUCACCCACGGCUGAGAAAGCAAGGUAGAAUCACCACUGCAUACAUACUAUUUCUCUUUUUUUCUGUUCUUUUCAGAUCAAUAUUGUUGUGAUCUUUCAUGUCUUUUAUAACAGGGAAAAUGGUUGUAUAUGAUAGACAUCGAACCGUUUCUGUAAACUGAGUACUAACUGAGUUCCCUAAAAAAAGAACCUUAGUACUAACUGAAAUAUGAUGGAACAGAAAAUACAAUGAAAUCAAUAUGGAACAUGCUAGAUAAAUAUUGCCAUGAAACCAGAUGACACUGAUAAUUUUAGUGGAAAACAAAGGACUCUUCUGUUAUUUUUAGUGAAAAGUUGGUCCACCGACCACUCACAUAUCCAAUUUCCAUGAUCCUCAACGGAAGUCAGAAACACAACAUAUCCAUGGACUUCUCAUUGUUCAAAAUCUUCUCUUAGGAUUAACCACAACAGCAUAUCGGGGGUUCAGGAAUCAAAAUAUCAGUUACAUCAAGAGUUAGCAAUGACCAAACUGGCAUGUAACAGAGACACUAUAAAAGAUAGCCAACAUCCAGUUAGGCCAACAUAACAGUGAACAAAACUACUGUCAAUCAGCUCAGUUAAUUCAGUUAGGCACACAAAUUUCAGAACUUUUGUGUGCCCUAGUACUUGGUGUUUGUAGAAAACCAAGAGUGUCAAUGGGACUAGAAUUCACUUGUUCUUAUAUGGGUUUGUAAAACUUGUUCAUGUACUGAACUACUAAUGCCUUGUGAUGCUCUGAAUUACUUGUGAUGCCUCUGAAUUACUUGUGAUCACAUUGAGAAAGACUUGUAAAGAUGAUGAUCAUCUUUAACAGAAAACAAUUUGUGAUGAUUUUGCUAGUUUGCUGGGUUUUGUCUCCGACCAUCGUGUCGUGAUGAUUUUGCAGGUACCCCGAGAGGCCCUUGAGUUUGCCGGAAUGUCGAUUAACUUCCGUUCCGGCAAAUUCGGGUACUCCAUAUGUCCUAUUUUCAGCAAAGGUCAUGCUGAAAUUUUCCGUGAAUUUUAGCAUGACUUUGCUAAAAAUAGGACAUAUGGGGUACUUGUGACUAAUGCAUAGGCCGGGGUAUCUUAGUAGUUAAUUAAUUAGGAUCAAGUGCCCCGGCGUACUUGUGACUAAUGCAUGGCUUUUAGGGUGCCUCGGUGUCGAUAAAAACCGAAAUGAUGAAAAGUUAGGCUUUUAGGGUGCCUUGGCGUCGAAAAACCCUCAAUGAUAAAAGCUUAGAUUUUAGGAUGCCUCGGUGUCGACAAACCCUAAAUGAUGAGACCAUGAUCUUGUUCCUUGACAAUAACCAACUUUUUGACCAAACUUUGUUUCUAUUUAGAGAGAAACAUGGCCCACAACGAUGAGGCCGGGGGUUCGGGCGGCAAGGCAUUCUGGGAGCUGUCCCAGGAGAUGGAGGAACAACCUCACUUGUAUGAGGCCGCCGCCUUCCCCACCGAUCCUGAGACCACGGAUGGUGCCGCCGAGGAUGACCACACUGAUGCCACCACUGAUGGUGCCGCCGAGGAUGCCACCACUGAUGAUGGCAGCGCACGCACAGAUAGCAGCCAGCCAAAGAGGCAACGGAAGGACCGGCGCCCGAUCGUGCUCCGCACCCUCAAGGAGGAAGUUACUGAAGUGGACUCCAACGGGAAUCCAACGGCGCCCGAACGAAUAGUCAAGGGGUACUCGCUUCAGCUCGGGUGCAUUGUCCGGAGCACCGUCUCGAUCAACACCGAGAACCUGAGGCAUCCUGACCGGGGGAAUUUGCGCCACCUCCUCUUCACGAAGCUGCACGAACGAUACAAGUUCCCCGCUGAAUUCGAAAACACAAGCCUCAAAGGGAAUAAAGUGAACAAUGCUGCCCUCACGAAGAUGAGCAAGGCCCUGUCUACUUGGAAAAGCAAUGUGAAGAGAAUGAUCGAGAAAGGUGAGAGUUAUGAGAAGAUCAAGGAGAAAAAUCCUUCGAUCACCGAAGAUGACUACAACGACUUCAAGAUCAAUUGCUCGAGCACCGCAAGCUCCCAAUCAAGUGAGUGGGGGAAACAAAUGCGGGAGCUGAACAUAGGGGAACACACACUCAGUCCCGGCGGUUACAGAGUGGCGGAGCCUAUAUAUGGGACAAGGAGGAGGCGGACCGUGCCGAGCAAGGCCUACCGCCCCUCUUCGAUAAAUACGGUGACAAGCAGACCAGGAACUUUGUCAGGGCCCGGUACAAGAAGGACCCGAAAACAAAGGAGCUUACCACGGAUCCGAAGACCAGGCGGCUUGAGCUUGUUCUGGUAAGGAAUACACCCCCGCGUAAUUAGCUCCAUAUGGUUGCAUUCUAAUUAAUGAAGCCGAAUUUCUAAAUGGUUCACAUUCCUUCCGCAGGCGACUGAAAGCAGUAGCGCGGGGUCGACUCAGAGCAACCCUUGGGACACCACUCUAAAUAGGGGGUUGAAUAUAAUGAAGAACAAGGAUAAGCUCAGUAAGCCGACGUCAGCUGGUCGUGUGGCCGGCAAAGGCUUGUCGACAAAAUGGGGGUCAUACUAUACUGCUGGUGUGCGGAAGGAGAAAAAGACCAGCUCGGAAAGCCAGGCGCGAGAGGUUCAAGAACUCAAGGCACAGGUGGCGCGGAUUCCGGAGAUUGUCCAAGAGCAAGUGGAACAACGACUCGGAGCGACGAUCACCGCCCUUGUGCCUACCUUGAUCUCGGGGUUGAGUGCGUGGAUUGCGGGCGGCCAACAGGGGCCGCCCCCGAUUCCUAGCUUCACGGCCAGCGACUCGCAUAAUGCGAUGGCGGGGCCAUUGGUGCCUCCGGCGGAGGCGGCAUUGGUGUCUCCGACGCCGGCACGGGAGCUUAAUGCACCCGGGUGUACGCCGGCCGGCACCUCUUCAGCAAGCGGCCGCUCCGUCAACUGCACGCCCGCCGUUGGCGGUGCCUCGACAUUAGCCGAGCUCGACGCCAUCAUCACGGUAACUAAUUAAGCCUCUCUCGGCCGAGGACUUCAUCUCCUUGCCUUUGACUGGGCAUCCCUGACGCCCUACAUGUUUUCGCAGGGCGCCGCCGACGUUCCGUGCACUCUCCUCCACUUCGUGAACAACGAGUUGGUCGAUGUCGCCAAGGGCAAAAUCGUUCAACCGGGCAACCCCUUGUUCCACGGUACCCAGAUGCCACCCAACUUGUUUAGGGUUCAACUGGUUCGGGUGCUGCCAGGCUGCGACGACUUGUUACCUCCGAUUCGACCCGUCGGGGCCGACGAUGAUGACGUGAUGACCCUCAGCGCCUGCCUGAGCUGGCCCCUGCUUUGGCCGAAGAGCCAGAUUCAUUUGGGGGCGGGGGACACCACCCCAAAGACAACACCGCCAGUCGUGUCGGCGCCAAGUCGGCCCCAUGGCAAGACCGCCGUAACGGUGCCGGACAUCCCUAUGCCACUGGAUCCAAACAUGCAUAUGGCACAGGAUCAGAACGACGACGACGACGACGAUGAUACAUUUGGCAACGUCGAUCAGUACUUUGCCGAGCAUGGGUACGAUGGCGACUUCAUGGGGCCUCCUUCUCAAGAACCAAACCCAACAAAAGACGUGUGCGAUCUAGCUCGUACCGCGGAGAAGCCAAGUUGCAACAGGCGCCGUCUGGCGUUCAGCUCUCAGGAGACGCCUCCAGCUGCCGACUUCACCGAGCCUCAGAUAGGCGAGGUGCGAAAUAUUAUCAGCCCCAACACACUCAAGAAGGCGGUCUGUGAGCAGAACUCGGUCCCAUUACAGGAGAAGAAGAAGGCACGCAAAAGAAAGACUAAGAAGGGUGCGAGCCAGCCGGCACCGAGUACGAUCCGUGCUCAGGACGGGCCACCUUCACCGCAGGAUAUCUCGAGGAGGGUGCAUGUGGCGGGUAGGGCGAUGCUACCACCAAAUAUGCUCAAUGCUGCAACCGGUGCUAUGCGGAGUCUGCACGACAGUGUUCUUUCUUUGGAGAAGCGGUGUCUCAGAGAGAAGGAUGUGGCAUACCCGGUUUUCAUGGCCAAGGUGCCAGAGGGCAAGGGCUUUGUGGAUGGCGACAUCGGGGGUACGAUCGUCCUGCGGUUUGAUGACAUCUUUGCUAUGUUUAACCUUCAUCCGCUGCACUACACCUUCGUUCGGCUAUUUUCGCUGAGUAUGGAGAUGCGGAUCAUUCGCGACAAGACCCCGGACAUCGUGAUAGUCGACCCCUUCUACAUGCGUACCAAGAUCUUGGGCAGCGCUGGGGACCGGCAAGUCGCGAGUUCUUACCUCGAAGGCGUCAUUCUGGCAAACCAAGAUAAGGAUAACUUCCUCGUGCCUUACUUUCCCGAGUAAGUCCUCCCCUCAACCGGCCCGUAACAUAUGAAUUCUUACUUUUCGAUCGUUUUUCUUUUAACAUUCCGUGUUUUCUGCAGUGACACACAUUGCACGCUCAUCCUCCUAAGCCCCAAAUAUUCCAUGGCCACGUAUUUCGAUCCGGACCGUCAGUCGAACGUAGACUACACAAAUGUCAAGAAGGUUCUUGAUGAUGUUCUCCCCGGCUACGCCCAAUCUGGAGGCACCUUCACCAGGCCUAUUCGUAAGUACGGCAAGCACGUGUUCUCCCACAAUACGACGUUCUGCUGCGUCAAGCAGCCGCCUGGCGGUCAGAAGGGUGCCUACUACGCCAUCCAUCACAUGCGGGCGAUCGUACGGGACCAUCAUCAACUUCUGCUACCGAGUAAACUCCAAGAUUGGGCCGCGAGCGUGUCGGCAAUCCAGGACGCGGACCUCCGACAAGAAUUCUUUCGCAUCCAGUCGGAGUUUGCGGAAAUCAUCCAUCAAGAUGUCCUUCGUACCUCGGGGCAGUUCUACCUCAGAAAUCAACCGUCCAACAGUGACAUCGACACAAUGCUACAAAUGCAGGAUGACAACGCCCGUUCUUUCAUGACUCCCACGAUAGACGACGGCUUCAUCCACGCUCCGGUCCCUUGAGUCGAGUUGUCUAGUUCUGAAACAUCGAUUGGCUCAUGUUGUAAUUAAACUUUAAUGAACUUGUAGUAUGUCUCUUUGGUUUUGAGAAUCGUUCAACUUAGAUGUAAUCGAUGCUAUUAAUGUCUUGCUUUUCUCUUACGAUCGUUCUGUUGCAUAAUUAUAUAUUGCUUAUGUAUUGUCUGUGAAUUGGUACUAACGUUUCGUUUGGCUAGUGCAUAGUGAUGCCGACGUAUGUCGUAUACAAGGGUAAGGUUCCCGGAGUCUACGAUGACUGGGAGGAGUGUCGGAGACAGGUUCACCGAUUCAGCGGUAACAGUUACAAAGGGUACACCACUAGGGCCGAGGCCGAAUCUAGAUACGCCCGCUAUCUAGUGGGAGAGGGGAGGGAGCGUUGGAGGAACCGGAUGAAGACGAGUUUCAUCGUGAUGAUGCUCAUCGUGAUGACCGCAGCUCUCUUCUAUGUGAUGGUAGUUUAGAUGAUCGAUAUCGACUUGUAAUGCGAAGACAAACUCGCUACUCGCGGUCUCGAGACUUGUAAUAUAAUGUUCUAUCUUUGUUCGGUCUUUUUAAUUCGGAGACUAAUAUGAUGAAUUGUAUUCGGAGACUAAUAUGAUGAAUUGUAUUCAAAGACUAAUCUUCUAUUGUAUUUGAUGAAUCUAUUGUUGAUGUGUGCUGUCUAUAUUUUGUCAAAUUAUACAUUUUGUAACCUGUGCAAAAAACAGAAAAUAAAAAAAUAAAAAAAAACCUAAUAUUCAUACUAAUGGCGCAUCACACGACAGUGCGCCAUUAGUAUGACAGUGCAUACUAAUGGCGCAUCACCGGGUAGUGCGCCAUUAGUAUGCUGCGGUUACUAAUGGCGCAUCCAGAGGUGGUGCGCCAUUAGUAUGCCAAAGCACCUGGGUAUACAUGCCAACUGGGAGGCAUACUAAUGGUACACCCUCGCAUAUACUAAUAGCGCACCAGCUGGUGCGCCAUUAGUAAAAAUUACUAAUGGUGUGCUAUCAAUGGCGCACCAGUGAUGCGCCAUUAAUGACCAUAUUAGGUGCGCCAUUAAUAGUGGUAUUUCUAGUAGUGUCAGAAGGCAAGAAAUUGGAAAUAAUUAUGUUCUUUGGUGGACUAAAUGAUUGUAAGGAAAACAACAAAGCACACGCGAAUAUAAUGAAGUUCGGCUUGAGCUUGAUUUGCAUCACGAGCCAAAUGGUGAGCUCUAGCUCAGCUCGCGAGCUUAGGGAUGAGCUCAAGCUCAAGCUUGACUCAUCGGAGACUUGACGAGCUCGCAAAGCCCGAUAUUGUUUUAUUUACAAAAUUCGACCAACACAUUACAUAUGUGAUUGAGCUUACAUUAAAAUUCGACAAGCACAGUACUACUCUAACUUUCAUGCAUUUGUACUGAAAUUAACUUGAUUGAGUUUCUGUUAAAUCAGAUAACUCAAAACUUCUUUCAAAACAAAUAUUGUGCUUAAACUUUUCAUGCAGAACGGCAGAUUUUGUAAUAUUAAACAGCUUACAUGUAAAAAAAGACCCGGAUGGGCACACUCAGAGAGUACACAAGCAUAAAAAUACAAUCUUGUAACACAACCUAGCAUGCAAAUAGCUUUAGAAAAGAACUGCAGAUGGAAAAGUCUUUCCGGUGUAAAAGAAACCUAACUUUGAUUCAGCUUCAAGUGUAGCAUUGAUGCUUCCCUCUGCUACUUUAAUUGACCAUGCUUUCAAUCGACUUGGAUUCCAAUCUGCAGGGCGAAAAACUUCAAUGAGCAACCAUUGAGAGAUCAAGAACAUAAAAGAACAACGCUGCACUCGUUUAGUAUUCAUAUAUACUGCAUAUAGAAUGGCAUUUACAGCAGAAUACUAGCACUGAACAUUUACAACAGAAUACUACAAAAAUAUAAAUAUUUUGGGAUUGGAUUGGGUCCAAAUUUUGGCAUGAGACAAAAACUUGACACUUGAUUUGCCAAAUACUGGCAACUUUUGAUAGUGCCAAAAUUGGUAUACAUAAUCUUAUAGGCACUAAGUCACUAAAGGGUUCACUCUCCCCACUAAACCAUUCAAACCCCUUGUGCUACAUACUUUAUAAUACAGAUAGCACAACCUUAGCAUGUUCUCAGAAUCAAUGUAACCAAAGCAUCAACAGAUUAAUGAUCUACAAGCUAAAACAUGGCAUCAUUUGACUUCAUGUUCUGAUUAGCAUCAGGCAUCAGCUAUCUAAGCAUGCACUCUGUUCCUGUUUUCACGGAUGGUUAUCCAUGAAUUUUAUUGGUUCUCGUAUUAAUCUAGGACACUCUGUAAAUAGCAUGAGUCAUCCAAAGCAGAAUCCAGAUCUAUAAAUCACAUGCCAAUAUAUGACGAUAAUACCACAUGUGAUUGCCAUCACCGCGUAAUCCAACUGAUAUUUCAGUGAUUUCACAUGGUACCCCAUUAGUGUCCUGUGGCAAUUGCUCUGAUUUAAUGUCUCCAUGAACCGCGUCAUUAAGGCCCAGCCUUCUUCUCGGUCCCUCAUCUGCCCUCACAGAUCUUUUACGAAUGCGCAUACAUAAAUCUAUAUGGGAGAGGGGGGAAUGGGAGGAUCGUAGUAUACCUUGAUGCUGAGCGUGAGAGGCGAAGGAGGAGCCCACCACCGGCUUGCCGCCGGCGAGCUAGGACCUUGACAGGGGACGGAGGCACGGAUCACACCGACGAGCUGCUCCUGGGACUGAGUGGGGAAGGGGUGAGUAGCCCACCACCGACUGCUGCUAGAAGGGGGCGAGCUGCUGCUGUUAACGGAGAUGAGGAGGAUGCGGAU